GGGCCAAGGCGCUAUUGGAGAUGCGCAAAAAAUAUCCAUCGGGAGAUGGCGCUGACGCUGACGCUAACGCUCGCAAGGCGGUUUUGCAGGCAAUUUCACAAAAUAGUUUUUUUUUCGUUGAGCUCAUAACCCGGUUUGGGCCGAUUGACUCUGAGAGCGAUCGAGGGGUCGCGGGCUCACACCUUGCUUUUGCGCAUAGGAUCGAAGAGAUCCUAGAAUUUCAUGGAAAGAGCAGCGGCUCUCUGAAAGACCUCAUUGAUCUGAAAUUGGAUUUGGAAGACGCCUCUAAAAGAGAGGAGAUUCUACUUCCAUAUUUUUCCUCCAAAAAAGAGGCAAAGUCCUAGCGUGAUACAAAAAGAAAUAAUGGGCAAGGGCGGGGAAUGAUAGGUUCAUAGAUGUGGAGUAAUCAGUUCUUCAUUUGAAGAGUUAGUUGGCUGGCCUACCGGCCCGCAGAUGUAAAGAGGUUGCCCCCACCAUCCUCUUGAACUGCGAAAUCAAAGCGAUUCCUGUUGAUGGAAGAAAGGCUAAUUUCGUUUGAUCCGAUCCGCCUAUGCCAGUUCGAGUCUGGCGCGUCGCUAUCAUCUGUUGCCCUAACUUUUUCUAUUAGCUCAUCUUGUCCGUAGUGAUAUUUUGGAGAAGGAGCAAUUACCGGAGUGAGAAAGGUAGAAAGAAGCAAUCACGAAAGCUAGUGCUAGUUGUGGCUUUUUGUACUAAUCUUGUUUGUUCGGUAGCUCGCAUCAGCAGCUUUAAAAGGAAUGGAAAACGAGGCUUUUUCCACCACACCAGGGGCGGGCAUUACGCUCAAGAAGGGGAAGUCAAUUUGACUGCUGCUCGAGAACCUGUUUGAACAAGAAGAAGUAGCAUGGCUCCAGCGGGGCAGAGCCAAUGGGUGUUUUUGAGGUCCUUUUUCCGAUCAGUUUCAUGCCAGUAUGGGGUCAAAGUAUACAAAAAUCACAUUCUCCCCAUAGAACGCUGUUUUUAGAGCUCUCCUUUUUUGGAAACUUUCAUUGCGCAUAGUACGAAAACCAACAGAAAUCCCACUGGCAAAGGUGUUGUGCCGGUUGCCGACCAGGCGAUCGACCAGCUUCCGACCAGAAGCGUUGGUCCAGUGAGGUGAGCCACGACCAGAACAGAGCUGUUACAAAGGAAGCCCACUCCCUUAUGUUCUGAUGGGAAAUAGCACUAGGAUCUGUAAUAGUUGUAUCUGCUUUCCUUUGGUUUGCAUGGGCACGUGAUACAUUCCUAGCAUGACGUUGGAACAAGCAAGGGCCCAGCGUGAUCCAGAGGGCAAGCCCAUCCCGGGUAACUUUGUAUCCUGACCCAAGCCGGAAGUUUGUCGAACUUGUAGUCUAGGACAUUGGUAGGGAUCCGCAUGGGCACGCUGAACAAUCCGAUGGCCACCCGCAACACGAAACAUCGGCCCCACUCGUAGCUCUUGCCGAUCAUCCCUAUCUCUACCGGGCCUGUAUUCCCCGCCUCGCUGAUACUUAUUCAUUUCUUUGAAUUGAUAAAGAUGGGUAUCCAUGCCUCUUAGUUCCGGGGAGAUACUGGUUAUGCCAGUGUGGACAAGUUCAAAUGGAGCAAACCCGCAAGAGCAUGGAGCAUAGGAUUUGAAUUAGCCCAAUGCGGAUGGCAGCGAUCGAGCAACUAAACGAGCGAACUCCAAAUAGAAAUCUUUUGCGCUUUCCUAAUGUGUUCUAACAGAUGUUACAAGCUUCGAUAAUCUAGCGUGAACUAACCCGAACUAUGGUUUCACUUCCCUAAACUAUGUGGUAUAAUCACUUUAAGUGAAGCAUGUCCCGAUGAUUCCCCGGAUAGGAGAAGGCCAGCUGGGUCAUUUGUUUGUAUAAUUACGAGUCAAUUCACUCCUGCGGUUUUUGCCCGAGUAAAAAGACAAGCAAGUCCUUUGAGUACACAGCGAACGAAGUGCCAGAAUGUGAGCCUAGGGUGAACAGUGGUGCUUCCAUGGCAGUUGGAUAGUAGAUCAGAGAGGCAGGCCAGUAGAAUAUGGAGUUGUUUUCGUUCUCUUGUUAUUCUUUUCUGGCUAUAAGUAUUUCUGUCUUGGAUUUGUUUGGCCAUUAGGUUUGAAUUGCCUUCUCUUUCUGUCUUCCAUUUGAAUUCCGUGAUUUAUCCUGCUAUUUGGAGAGUAGUUGAUAUGGUCUUUCUUGGGUUUCCUGGUCACCUUCAGGAAACCCAAUAUGUUUCAUGGCCUAUCAAUGAAAGUCGGUAUCAGGCUGGCUCGCUUGGCGGGUCGUCUCCUUAUAUACCUAAAUCCUCGUUUCACUCAUCUGUAAAGGUCUACCCUUCGAAAGGUAGGUUGAGUUCCCCCGUAUGUAGCCAGCCACACUCUACUCGCAGGUAAAAUAUUGGCGUAGACAAUAGAGAAUGUGCUAGGUAGGAAACCGAAGGAACUCUUACUAUACGAGAAUUUGCAAUUCAAUAUGACAACCGAUCAGAAGGGAUUGGACGAUCCCAAUGCGUUGCCCUCCUUCGCAAUACCGGAACUAUCUGACCGAGCUCCAUCAACACAGAAAGCGGAAGGGACAGCAGAUACGGAUAGACUGGAUCCGGAAAGGGAUUUCAGCCAGUCCUUGCCUAUUGCUGGGCUGGUUGUUUUGUCACGGUCCGAUUAGUAGAAGGUGAGUGAGUAAGACGAGGCCCCCGAAGCGUAAUGUAGAGCUAUACUGCUCUUGUUUUUCCUUCCGCCCUGCUUAGGAGAACUUUGUCUAGAACCCACUUUAGCUAGCUUUCAAGGAUACCAUUAUAGAUGAGUGAAGCGAGUAUACCGUUUCCGGAGCUCCCGAGGUAGCGCGGUAGCGGAAGCCCUUUCUAGUUCAAGCAGUUCCAAUUCCUAUUCUGCUUCACCGCUUACACCACACUCUAUUGGUUCGCCUUGUGGUGCCUUUCGAUCAAGGUCUACUUUGGUUGAUCCACUUUCUUCUACAGCGCGUUAUCCGCAUCGAAGUUAGCCAGGUUCCUACCGCUUCUUGAUAUUAUGGAUUUUGCAAUCCCUGAACGCCAGUGCUUCUACAACCAACGGAUACUAUUUAACAUAAAUAAUAAGUAGAAAUGGACAAACGAGUGUGGCUACACAGAGUGAGGAAAAAAACAUGGUGGUACCAGCAUUGCGUAUCACUCACUAUGCUUUAUGUAAUAUGGCUUAAGCAAUGGUAAAAUGGGAGUCCUGAGCAAAGCACAUCUGAUCGAUAUGAAUGAAAGAUACAUCCGUCUUUUCUUCUCCUUCGAAGGUUAGGUAUCCGCUCGUUAGUUCAGCGCCGCAUAAAUACUGACUUUAAAAGGGGCGACUCCCGCCUGUGCUUAAGUUGUUUCAAGCUUGUAAAGACUCGCGAUCGGAAGAUUGACCUGGUUUUCUUUCAGCUGAAACUCUACCUAAUGGUUCAGAUUCCCCGGGUCCAUGGGUCCAUGGCCGCUUAGCUUAGACAGCCUUGUUAGAGACAUGAAUGCGGGGUUCGGUUUCCAAUUGAUUUGUAUUCACCGGGACCUCCCCUUAUUGGAUUUUCUCCACUUUUCUAGUUGCUGUGGAAAGAAUGUUGAGCAAAUGAGUUUAAGGGGUGGUUUUCUAUUUACUUUUUUUCAGCCUACGUCGUCUCUCUUCCAGAACCUCACAAUCAUCAGUGUCUGAAGUUUCAUGAUGAAUAUUGGUUUCACAUUUUAUUGCUUACGUGAGGAAAUAUCAAUUUGGAACUCAAAUUUGUAUUUGAGUUAUGAUGAGGAGUGAGGUAGAUUCGCAUUGUUGAAGAAAGCGAAGAAAAAGGAUGCUGCUAUGGCUUGCUUGUGGCUCUUUCUUCUAUUGGCUAGUCUCAGGCAUGAUAGUUUCCAUUUCUUUUGGAAAGCAAGUGCGGCUCAGUCAUAAGUGUUAGUAAGAGCAUGAAGUAAGUUGUCGGUAGCCGGCAUUAGGUAAAAGGAAAAGCUUCUCAAAAGCAUCCAGAAAUAUCAUAGAAUGGUGAUCGAGAUCACCUUCACGGGAAUCAUCCUUUGCAAAUUGGGGGAAGGGAACCAAUCAAGUCACCAAGAAGUUCCCGAAACUUGGUUUAGUAUUAAGGUUCUUCUCUUCCAGCGUUGGCCUAUCAAUGGCUGCUGCUUAGAUGAGAUGAGGAGUGUGGCUGGCUCCAGAAUCAUCGCUUGGCUGCUGCUUAGAUGAGAUGAAACCUGAGCUGACUUCUCUGUUUUAGUACCGGCCAGGCCUGCUUCUUAAGUGAACUCAUCCAUUCCCUUGUUAGUACAGAAGGAGGCGAUAUCGUGUCAAUUCCCUAAAUAAAACCGUCUUUUCCAAUGAUUUAGGGCCCAUACCCCAAUAAUGAUGACGAAGAGGUCUUCCUGCUUCAAAAACAGGGCUUCCUGACCCGAGAAAAGAGUGCACAUGGAAGUAGUUCCGCUCAAUUCUCCAAUACGACUUCGGGUGUGACCCCAACCCCACCAAAUGGUGAUCCUCGAGACCAAAGGGCAUUGAACGAGAGAGAAGGAAAUCAUCCACAGAGAAUCGGAGUAUCCGGCCUAGUGAUAGUUAGAAAGAGUUGGCCAAUACAGAAUCUCAUGCGCCUCUCAUUGAUGAACCCCUUUUUCCUUUAUCCUCUACUGGUGGCUGAUUGAUUGAGCGCCGGUCUCACUCAUUCUUUAUGAGCGGAAGCCAUGCACCUAUCACCUAUAACCGGAGAAGUACUAUACGGCACGGCACCUUCGGCGAGGACUCAACUCAACAGAGAAUGAUUUGACAAACAUUGAUCCAUGCUUGGCCUUAGCCUGAGCUCAACUCUGAAAAAGAAAAGAGGAGAAUCUCUCUAGCUUGUGGAAUCACUUCCCUGGAUGCUUAGAUAGCUCGAGAAAGUGCGCCACUUCUCCCUUAGAGCCCAUCUAUCUAAACGGGUAUAAAAACAGAGAAAUAGGCUCAUUAAGUGAAGUGAGAACAGAACUCGAUCUUUGCUAGGCGUGAGAAGAAGAUAUCGGUCCUUUGGCCAUCGGGUAAAGAAAUCCUUUGAAUGGAUCAGUGAGUUCCGGCACGAUUGCUGGAACGAACGGAAUCUACGGGAACGAGAUCUUUCUGUUGGCACGAUAUCUUUCAGGAACUGCGGUAAUCCAAUCCUUGAGCUAAGGACGAAUGCUUGAUUUGCAAUCUUUCAAGACGAUUUUCUUGUAGCAGAUGUGGAAUCCAGAUUGGCAUAACGGGUUCUACGUGAAGUCAGCCGUUCGUCAUCAUUUGAGGGUUCGGGUCGGGAUCAUGGCCAUAAAUCGCUACUUUUUCCACUAGAGCGAAUAGCAUUCUUCGAAACAGGCACUGGACACUAGAGCGAAUAGCAUUCUUCGAAACAGGCACGCACAGGACUUGAAGCAGAAUCAGAGAGUGAUCCCUUUCCAACAGACUGAUCGAAUUCCAGUGAUACACUACGCCUGGCACUAUUCGUCACAUUAGUAGUUAAGUUACUCAUUUGUUACGAACAAAGAGAUGCUAGAGAUUCUAUGAACUUCAGAUCGAUGCCAUUCACUAAUCUCAAUUGUCUUUCUAUGGAUUUCUGGGCCGAUGGGCGAUAAACCUUAAAAGUAGCUGCUACGGGCUCUGUGGUGCGUCUCAGAGCCCUUCCCCAUGGGGGGUUCCCGUUCUGCUAAUCUUGCUAUCUUCCCCAGGUUUGCUCGUUUCGAUUGGAACAAGAAGUCCGUAUUGGUAUUUCUUGGUAUUGGUAGCAGAUGUUCAGCGGUAACAAACAGUAGCUGCAAGUAGAUCAUCUCUCUUUCUUUCGUACAAGUAGAUCGUUGGGAUGAGAUCUGUAGUCUAAGAAUCGGUUCAUAGGAAAGCACGCCUUGCAGUUGGCAUCGGUAGAAGAUUUCCGUCUUGUCCCUCGGAGUGGAGCUAGACUCACUUCCUUUGUUCUAGACAUUAUACGUUACUCACUGAGGAAGAAGGGAGUAAAGUAUCUACACUCGUAUCGGAUCUGGAGAUCUGCCCCGGGAUGGAAAGGUAUCGAACGACCAAGAACUUGUCGAAUUUCUUUGACCUCGGAGCCCGUACAAGCUCUUCUUCCACAACCAUAUGUGACCUCCCCGAGUUUCGAACCCCUCGCCCUCUAAAUGUGGAUCUCCUCCUCCUCGUUGUUGCCGUGGAGAGACCUCACGUCUAGUUGAAAUAGAUGCAAGUAAAACUUUCUGACAGCUAUGUGAGCACGGAUCUUUCCAUCAUAAGAAUAGGGCUCUGGCAAUAGAUCAAAAUCACUAGUCCAUUCUGAUUCGGAAGAUAGGGCUGGGCUGGCAGGUUCUAGUUUGUUCGCACAAGAAAGAGAAAGAAGUGCCGGAGGCAGCACUGGACCAAGUAAAGGUGCCGGAUACGUCUCAGCUCAGCUUGAAAGGGAAUGUGUUUCUGGGGAAUCGUACUUUUGAUUCUCAGCUAAAGCCCACCCUUGCCCCCGGAAAGGUUCUCAUUCCUCACUGGAGAACACGGCUCCACAACGUAUUUGGUAGCGGAUCCACUUUUCCUUAUCUGUUAACGUAUACCUUUCCUCUGCCUAUGAGCUAGCUAAAGAUCCAUCGUUAUCCUUUCCGGCAAUGGAGGCGGAAUCAAUGGUCAUGUCAGGUUUCAGAUUCAAAGAGAGAUGUCAAGCAAGCGCCGAAUCUGAGUACUCAACUUGCCCGACCCGCCUCUUCCACUAGACCUCGUCUUUCAAAGAGCAGCAGCCCUGCAAGCCUAAUAGAACCUUGUUUCCCUAUUACUUACUUUUGCUUUGAGCGUCGCACUCCAGUGGCUUUCUUUCCUAUGGCUUGGAUGGGGGUCCUCAACAAGAUCUAUAUCGGUGUCAUUAUUUACUUAUUUAGACGAUAGAUGAUGAUAGAGAGCAGACUGGCUCUGAGGAAGAAUAUCUUAAGUAGUUGAAUCCGCUCCGCUAGGUUAAAUUGUAUGAUCUGAAUGUAGGAGGACUGCUGCCGGUGACACAAUUUCUUUUGGGUCUGAAGAAUGAACUCAGAGCUGCAGUGGAAGUGCAGGUGCCUAACUCAAUUAGUGAAGCUGCAUCUUUUGCUCAAUCAAGUGCGGGAAGGAGUUUUGGAGAGAGGCAGGCACUACAUGAACAAGAAGGACAGUAACUAGAAUUAGAAGUCGGCUGCCCCGCAGCAGCAAGGCUAUGUCUCAGUCAAAGUUCGACAGGGGGCAAAACAGUUGCUGUCCUAAUAGAAGUUCAUGUCGAUCCAGCCAAGCCAGUGCCAUCAUUAGAAAGUCCGGCCAUUUUAGUUUCAGCCAGUUCAAGUUAGGGCAAGGAGGAAAGGAAGAGAGUAAUGCAAGGAUGUAAAGAAUGAGGCGCUAGAACAGACUGGCCCGCAGGCUUCCAACCUGACACCGCUUUGCUACUUUUCGAAAGAGGAAGAGAAGUUGCUUGUACGAGACUGCGCCUCCCGGCUGGAAACUCCAAUGGCAUUUUCGGUAAAUGAAAGCAAAGCGAAGCUUUACGACCAAGGAGAGAUAAGCAUAUUUUAUGAAUGAUAGAAGGAGUGCUCCCCGAGCACAGGCUCGCUUGGAAGGAUAGAGCGCCGCAAGACAAGAUGGCAUAUUGAAGGAUUGAUUGGUUUAGUACCGGCCAGGCCUGCUUCUUAAGUGAAGGUCUACUUGGCGGGUCGCUAUGUUUCAUAGCAAGAAAGAUUCCACUGCCAACACAAAUCGUUCAGACUCUGAAGCAGUUGAAGUAAUCACUUUUUAGAUCCAACCAUUGCUAGUUUAUCUGGAAACAUACCUCUAAAAAAAACUUUAGCUGGAAACAAAUGGACAGGAAACAUACCCCAAAUGUCCACGGGUGUCAAAGGUCUCUGGCUGGGGCGAGCUACUAUGCAAGUACUCAAAGGCAAUCAGGGAACGAUAUAUCGGUUGAUUGGGAAGAGGUACUACGAGAGAGAGAAGGUGAGGUGCAAGUGCAAUUGACUCAGUCGCGAGAACGCCAGUGGCGUGUCGUUGGAAUGACAAUAAGCACCACGGGAAGUGGUCUUCGCCGACCGGCCAGAAUUAAUUGGUGCGAAAAGUCCGUGGAGGAGGGUGCGGGCGGUCGAUCGGAGGUGGAGACCUACCAUGGUGGUGGUGGCGCCGGUGUGGACGAGGCAGCUCGCGACAUGCAUGGACUAGAGAGUACAGGGCCAAUCUUCCUCGCAUCUUCGUACGUCCACGCCCUCCCUCAGGUCACUAGCGUCGACUCAGUCCCUUCCUUCAACCAACUGCUACAGAAUAUCAUCCACACACACACACACACGGCCGAAAUGUUUGUGGUGGAGACGAUCGAACAAGCUGAUAUCAACGGACCACAAGCUAGAGUCGUGGACUGUGGUGGUUACGACUCAUUGUCUCUUUAUUUAUUACCACUUAUACAUGGAUUUAGUUGAUACUCCCGUAAACUAAUAUAUAAGGGCAUCUUUAACCGAUCUCCUAAAACAUAGUGGAGUAAAAGGCUUUGUGGAGUAUAUAUACUCCACUCCACUAUGUUUUGGCCAGACCUAGCCGUAAUGAAGUAAAUUUUUGUUUUUCUAAACUUUGCAAUUUUAGUAUAAAUUGCAACUACAUAUUACCACACAUAUAGAAACUAAACAUAAAUUUAAAUGCUCAACCAAGUUACAAAUAUAGUUUACAAACCGAAUUAUUCAAAUUUAAACACGUCGAAUGGUUCAAAUGUAGCAAAUAGCAUUUCAUAGAACAACUAGGACUCACUUAGACGUUGCCAAUGAUGCUCGACAAGAUCUUGUUGGAGCUGAGUAUGAACUUGACGGUUCUCGAUCUUCCGAUGAUGGUCAAGAAAUGACACUAUCCUGUUCGCAUCAUACUCUGGCUCAACCGGAGUCCCAUUGAUGAUCUACCGAAAGUUAUCAGGCAUAUCUCUCUCGUCUUCAAUGAUCAUGUCAUGCAAUGCAAUAUGAUGCAACAAGUCAUGAUUCGCCAUAGAACCUUGGAGUUCCAGUACUCGGUAGGGUCACGAACAAUUGCAAAGUGCUUCUGAAGCACACCGAAGGCUCUCUCCAAAUUUUUCCUUGCAACUUCUUGACAUUGGGCAAAGUGAGUGUUUUUAUUACCUUUUGGACGCGGAAUUAUUUUAACUAAGGUGGCCCAUGAUGGGUAGAUGCCAUCCGCAAGGUAGUAGCCCAUCAAGUAGUUGCAAGCGGGAGUUUCACCUUCUAUAAGCCUAGAAAACAGAGGUGGUCGCGAUAGCACAUUCAAGUCAUUGUGCGAGCCAGGCAGACAAAAGAAUGAAUGUCAUAUCCAAAGAUCCUUCGAUGCAACUGCCUCAAGAAUGAUCGUUGGAUCGUUGCAGUGGCCUUUGUACUAACCCUUCCGUCGUGCAGGCCAAUUCUUCCAUGUCCAGUGCAUACAGUCAAGUGAUCCAAGCAUCCCUGGCCAUGCUCUUGCUUCACUCUCAGUGAUGUGGGCAUAGAUACGUCUACAAAUAUUAAACGACACAAUUUUCAGGUAAUUUAUAUUGAUCAUUAUAUGAUAUUAUAUUUUAUUACCAGGGACAAAAAUACUACACCAACUUAUCUCUUGCGUAGGAUUGUUGAAGGCAUUUGCAAAAUAAGUACCAAGAUGAGAGAUUAUGCACUUGAAGUUUACACGGGCCAUACAAAUGCACCCAUGCACAUGCAGCCGAGCCAAGGAAGUGCUCCUGUACAUGCAUGCGUGAGGAAGGUGCAAGGAGGAGCCAUCCUUGCAUGCUACAAUGCCCAUGUACAUCACGUUGGAGCCACACAUCUUGUCAACCGAAGGAAACAUCAAUUCCGGCUGAGGCGUGCAGAAGUUGGACUCCGUACGUCCUCCGUUCCGUAAACCAAGACACAAGGCGGCCGCUCCUCUUAAUAAAUAGUUAGUUAAAAUUAGGGUUUAGACUCGGAUUUUGUUUAGAGAAGUUUAGCUAUUGCUACUUUUAUUUGUCUUCGCUCGUAGCGGCUAGUGCGACCGUCAAGACAUCUUAUCGGAACCCUAAUUUGUGAGAUUUAUUCAUCUAGCAUAUCUGCAAUUUUUAGAUUGCUUGGCUAAUAUUUUCUUGCAUGUUCUUCGAUUUGCUUGCAGGAAAAAUCCUCCGUGGAUAGGUCGAUCGCGCCGUUGGCUCGGUCGAUAACACGUGGAGUUGGUUCAGCGAUUGCCGUGGAUAUCAGUCGUGUACGGUUCUUCCUGUACGGUUGGUAGCCGGAUCGUGAGGGUCAAGUCCCACCCAAAAUCGUAGUUAUCUCCCUCUCAUCGAAAGAUCGGGCCCCAGUUCACAUCAAGUGGUAUCAGAGCUGCCGUACAAAAUUGUUCCGGUGCUACCGCGCGCACGUCCCAGCUUCCAGCCGCUAGCGAGGGAGCAUCCCAAUUACAUCAGGUCAACCAUCAGCACGUGAUUACUUUUACCUCUAGUAGCACACAAGUUCUAACAGGUGUCCUCACGUUUUUUUGUGCCAGGCUCAUCUUUCGUAUACGUGAGUUCUUGCUUGUUACCGGCUUGAUCAAAAGAAAAAAAACAAAGACGAAAAAGAGCAAAAAAAGAGAGAAAAGAAAAGAACGAAAAGAAAAGAAAAGAGAAAAAAAGUGCAUAGUUCAGGCCGGCAAGCAUAUGAUUUAAGCCGUUUUGUUCGGUUUGUUUUUCAGGACAAAGACUUCUGUACCUACGUGAUCACCACUCCAUAUAUCAUCUAUUUUUUAGCUUUGUUAUACACUGCGUUUAUACUUCACUUAUAUCUAGCUAUUUGGAGCUAUCAUAUUUUCAUCGAUUUUCACUCCCCUCAUUCAGUAUCUGGGCUUAGGUUAUUUUAUCUCUAACUAGUCGACUGCCAGCACUAGUUAGGAGUUUGAGCAAUUAUUCAACUUGCAUUGCUUUUUGCUAAAUUGUGCCACUAAUAUUGUGAGUUGAGAAGCCACUGCCAAGCUACACUUUUUACUACCAAUAAGUACAGGUCCCGGCUCUAUUGAUUCCUGGUUAUCGCUCCAUCCAAUCUUCAUCGGUAGUUUGAAGCCAACACCAACGCGCCGAUCACCACCUGUUGCAUUGGUAAAAACAAGUAAGAAUUUGAUACUAAGCUUGAGUGUGAGCGAUUUUUCUCCACGACGUCCUACUAGUUGAUAGGGAUUAUACACUGUGUGUUUUUUCCUUUCGCUAACAAUGGCACAUGAUCAACCCAUACUUGAGGGCCUCACCGCGGAUGUGAAAGUCACCAGCGAGCGUCUCACCCAACUUGAGGGUGCUCAAAUUGCGGCCGAAGAGAGGCUCAAGGCCAUCGAGGAUGCACAGGGUGUUGCCAACACACAUCUACAGGACAUCUUGUCACGUCUGGAUGAGUUGCAGGCUUCACCCCACGUCAACACCAACGUUGAUCCUCGCAACUCCGCGGGUGUUGCCGCUAUUUCGCGAGCUCGGCGUGUGCCCAUGGGUCAUCCACAACACCCAGCUACUGCCACUGAUGCCGCCACCAUAAACCAGCACCAACAAAUUCCUCCCCGCGUCGAGCAACAUGGGGACAACUACGAGGAUUAUUCGGGUGACACCGAAGACGACCAAAUGGUCAACCACCACAAUGACCGUGCUCACCGACAACUACGUUUCAACCGUCACGGUAUGGCAUGAGGUCAACCCAGGUAUGAUGUUAGAGAUUAUGAACACUCUAGUGCCAAAAUCAAAUUUACUAUGCCUACUUUCAAUGGUCAAUAUAAUCCAGAUGUUUAUCUUGACUGGGAACUUUCUGUUGAACAAAAAUUUGCAUGUCAUGAUAUUCCUGAGAACCAAAGAGUUAGGGCAGCCACUAGUAAAUUUACAAACUUUGCUUCCAUGUGGUGGAGUGAAUAUUGUCGCAUUAAUGCAAAUAAUAUACCUUCUACUUGGGAUGCUUUAAAACGAGCUACGCGACAACGUUAUGUUCCUUGAUAUUAUGCUCGUGACAAACUGAAUGAAUUGCAACGUUUAAAACAAGGUAGUAGUUCUGUAGAGGAUUAUUAUCAAGAAUUACAAACUGGCUUAGUGUGAUGUGGAUUAGUUGAAACCGACGAUGCUAUGAUGGCUAGAUUUUUAGGUGGUUUGAAUUGUGAUAUUCAGGAUAUCUUGGACUAUAAGGAGUACAACUCUAUUACUCGUUUGUUUCAUUUUGCUUGUAAAGCUGAAAGGGAAGUACAGGGACGACACAACAAGGGACGAGGUAACUUUUCUGCAGGUCGCCGCUCAUCAUGGACACCCUCUCCUACUGUUCCAUCCACUACUGAGUCUACACCACCUAUCUUGAACAAUGGUGCACACCCAUCAAGUUCAAAAUCAGCUCCACAAUCAUCCGAGGCUUCGAAAGCAAUGUCUAUAGCACCCACCACUUCAUUUGGACGCACAAGGGACAUGAAGUGUCAUAUAUGCAAAGGUGGCGGGCACUUGAUGAAGGAUUGCCCAAAUAAACGAACAUUCAUUGUGCGGGAAGAUGGUGAGUACUCCUCUGCUAGUGAUUUGGAUGAAGAUACUCGUGCUAUGCUUGCCACUAAUAAUGCAGGUGAUGACACGGAGGAGAUACAUAUUAAUGCUGAUAUGGCAGAUAAAUACCCAAGCCUUGUAACCAUGCGAGUACUUAGUGCCCAGAUGGGGGAUACUGAGAUGCCUUAACGCCAUAAUCUUUUUCAAACUAAGUUUGUUGUCAAAGGGCAUUCUAUUCGUGUGAUCAUUGAUGGUGGAAGCUGCAAUAAUUUGGCAAGUAUUGAGAUGGUAGAGAAGCUUUGCCUCACCACUACAAGACACCCCCAUCCAUAUUACAUCCAAUGGUUCAACGACUGUGGUAAGUUGAAGGUAACACGUCGUGUGAGGGUUCAUUUUACACUUGGUUCAUAUCAUGAUUAUGUUGACUACGAUGUUGUACCUAUGCAAGCAUGUUCUUUAUUGUUAGGUCGACCUUGGCAAUAUGAUAAUAGUGUUAUCCAUCAAGGUAGAACAAAUCCAUAUACUCUCGUGUUUGAAGGAAAAACCAUUAACUUGCUUCCAAUGACCCCCGAUGAAAUAAUAAAUGAUGGGAAAGCUAAAUCAACGGAUCAUGCUAUGCAUACUAUGCUUGCGAUCAAUUCUGAAAUUUUUCGUUGAGUGUCUCAACUUUUGAACUAGACAUACCACAUGCUCAGGUAGUUCAUUUGUGUCCCCAUAAUUCAUACAUGGACUCUGUGUGGGAUAAAACUUUUCAUGAUAUUCCUAAUGGUGUUGUUACAAAUUUAUUUCACCCUCAUGACCUAACACCAUCGGAACGGCCUAUAUAUGUUGCAUCUAUUUUUGCGUUGCUCUAUGAUGUGUUUCAGAUAAAUAAAAGCCGAGGACGUCUUUAUUUUCAAGAAAGGGAGGAUGAUGUGGGCAUAGAUACAUCUACAAAUAUUAAACGACACAAUUUUCAGGUAAUUUAUAUUGAUCAUUAUAUGAUAUUAUAUUUUAUUACCAGGGACAAAAAUACUAGACCAAUUUAUUUCUUGCGUAGGAUUGUUGAAGGCAUUUGCAAAAUAAGUAUCAAGAUGAGAGAUUAUGCACUUGAAGUUUACACGGGCCAUACAAAUGCACCCAUGCACAUGCAGCCGAGCCAAGGAAGUGCUCCUGUACAUGCAUGCGUGAGGAAGGUGCAAGGAGGAGCCAGCCUUGCAUGCUACGAUGCCCAUGUACAUCACGUUGGGGCCACACAUCUUGUCAACCGAAGGAAACAUCAAUUCCGGCUGAGGCGUGCAGAAGUUGGACUCCGUACGUCCUCCGUUCCGUAAACCAAGACACAAGGCGGCCGCUCCUCUUAAUAAAUAGCUAGUUAAAAUUAGGGUUUAGACUCGGGUUUUGUAUAGAGAAGUUUAGCUAUUGCUACUUUUAUUUGUCUUCGCUUGUAGCGGCUAGUGCGACCGUCAAAACAUCCUAUCGGAAUCCCAAUUUGUGAGAUUUAUUCAUCAAGCAUAUCCGCAAUUUUUAGAUUGCUUGGCUAUUAUUUUCUUGCAUGUUCUUCGAUUUGCUUGCAGGAAAAAUCCUUCGUGGAUAGGUCGAUCGCGCCGUUGGCUCGGUCGAUAACACGUGGAGUUGGUUCAGCGAUUGCCGUGGAUAUCAGUCGUGUACGGUUCUUCCUGUACGGUUGGUAGCCGGAUCGUGAGGGUCAAGUCCCACCCAAAAUCGUAGUUAUCUCCCUCUCAUCGAAAGAUCGGGCCCCAGUUCACAUCACUCAGUCAUCAGCCUCUAGGUGUCAUUCUCCAUUGGUGCUCUCAAGUACUCCGGGCCAAAGAUAGCGAUCACUCCUUGGUGAACCUUAGAACAGCCUCCAAGAUUGUGUCCUCGCUAAUGCGUACAUAGUCAUCAAUUGCAUCGGUAGAAUGCCCAUAUGCCAAGACACGAAUAGCCGCAAAUAAUGCAUUUCAUCAGAGGGCUUGCACUGAUAUCUCCACAUGCAUUUCUCCAGAGCUUGAACCAGCAUCAUAUCUCUCAAUGGCUUUUGCAAUGGUUAGAAAAAGAUUUGUGUGCAUCCGAAUGCGUCGACGAAAAUACUUCUCCGGAUAGAUUGGGUUUGGAUCAAAGUAAUCUCUCAUGAUCUUGGCAUGGACCUCCGCUCUCUCACGGUUGAUGUAUAUGCGGUCAAAUUGUGAUCCUCUCCUCGGCCGCAGAACAUCAUCAUUGAAAAUCAUGCCUAAAACGGUGUCAAAGUCAUCAUCGUCUUCUUCCUCUUCGGAUGAAAACGAGUCCUCCAACGCUAUCUCCCUCAACCUCUUCAUCUGCAAUCCAAGCGGUUAGGUUCAAUCCACAUUGCUCGGUUCAAAGAGAAACAAUAAAAAAACUCACCUAGGCAAUUCUUCAAAUACUUGGGAUGCGGUGGUGGUGCACAAGCCGGUCAACGUGGUUUAGGCCGAACCGGCGAGCGGCGGGUAGCCUGCAGCGGUGCACUAGCAAGGUGAGAUGCGGCGGCCGCUGAAAAAGGAGAAACUCGAAAGAAAUAGGACGAAUCGAUAAUGCUGACGGCGGCGGCGUUUCACCUUGAUUCAGGUGACGACGACGGGGGCCGAACGGCCUGGCCGAUGGGCAGAAUGGUGGCGGAGGGCAAGGGAUGGAACGAGGUAGCGGCGGGGCUGACGGGAAAGAGAGGGCGCAGCGUUUGACUCGUUCGCCAACCGAUCGAGUAAAAAUAGGGAAACUUUUAAGACCGGAGUAAAAAUAUACUCCACUAACGGCGGAUUGGGGAUCGGCUAGGUGCCGGUUAGCGGAGUAAAAUCGAAUCAAAAUUUUACUCCACUAACCAGUUUUAGGGGGUGGAUUAGAAAUGCCCAAAGAGUGUUCUCCGUAAACUUACGAAGGGAGUACUUUUUUGCAGAUAUCUAUGGGCAAUCCGAGCUAAUGAUCGUUCACGUUGGGUGGCAAAUCCAAGUGAACAAAAUCGUUCGGUUGAAAACCCUUCCCGACGUGACGAGCCAUGAUCAACUUAGACUCGGCCCCACCUGGUGCCCCCUACCCCUCCUAGUGAACAAAAUCGUUCGCUUGAAAACCCUUCCCCGUCUGAUGAGCCAUGAUCAACUCAAACUCGGCCCCACCUGGUGCCCUUCCACCUCCAAGUGAAUAAAAUCGUUCGUUUGAAAACCCUUCCCCACGUGACGAACCAUGAUCAACUCAGACUCGGCCCCACCUAGUAACCCCCCUCCCCCCGCCCCCCAAAAAAAAUCCGCCCCUCACCCCGCUCCCUCACCAGCUUCUUGCUGCUUGCUAGGAACGACAAACCCUCUCUCCAUUCUUCAUUUUGUCCCGGUCUACUAAAAAGAACCAGAGGGAGUAUACGACAAUUCAGCUACUGCCGCAAAACCAAAUGCAUCGCUAGCGCAGCCCCAACCGCCGCACGAACACUUCAGCCGCGUGCAACAGCCCCUUCCACCAACCAUCAACGGCGCGAUUUCGGUCGUGAAUGCAACCGUCGAUGGUCUAUCAACCACCGUCCAAUCCGCCCAGCCCCGCCGCUCAACAUCACGCCCGAUUGCCGCCAAGUCAACUCCGCCCCAUCGAUUCGGGAUCCGGCAACAUGUCGAUUUUGAUAGAUUUUCGGCCAACCGUCGGCCCUUCGCUGGCCAUAAUGGCGGCACAACUCAUCCACGUACGACCCGUAGAGGUGGACUAGUGGCCGCCGAAGCGCCAUCGCAAGCUGCUGCCACAGUUUUGAAUGGGCGACUGCCCGUUCGGAUGGCGUCAAAGGUGUGGCAUCGCUGGCUUGCCGCCGCUCGCCCCCCGGGCAUCAAGGAGGCCACUUCUACACUUUUGCGGCCCAAAGCGCUACCCUCUCGGCUCCAAAGAGCAGCUGGCCGCCUUCAUCCUCCUCACAUGCAAGGUUUUCGAUGAAAUUUCUACAAGGUAAAAAAAAUUCCUUCUCGUUUUUGUUUUACUAUUGCUUUUGGAAGUAGUUUGACAAAGAUUGUUGUAUUGUAGAUGAGUUCAUGUGACUUCAAUCAUUGGGAUGAUUCCUUGUCAGACAAGGAAUAUGACAUGGUUGAGGGGGAAAAUAUUUCUUUCAAUUCUCUUUUUCCUUUUUUUAUUUUCUUUUUUGUUUGUGUCCAUCCUGGAUGUUUUUAGGCGUCUUAUUUGUGCAGAGGCCGGGUGUAAUUGAUAUCUACUUGAUAUUAAUAUUCCCCUUUUCAAAAUAAAUGAUUGUUAAAAAAAAGAUGUGGUGUGGCUGCCAUGUGGCUGCCCUAUUUUAGGGCAACUCUUGGAAUACAGUGCCCUAGUUUAGGCCUGUAGUUAGAGAUGAGCACCUUUUGGUGCCCUAAAAAUCUCUUUUUCGUGCAUCAAAUUUUACUUGAAGGUGUUUUUCAUUCCCCUAUAAAGUUCCUUCAUUUUCACGGCGUCAAUGACUUGAUGGCAUAUUUUUCCUUUCGGUCGUUUGGACCGGAGGAUGUGGCCUAUAGGGUUUGUCGGCGCGGCAUCGACGAUAUCCCUUUGCAGUUUGGUCCUCCGGCCUCGUCUCCAUCACAUUGGUGCCACCUCCACGACUCUUCCAACAGCGACAGUUUCUUCUCCAGUGCGCUGGUUUGGCAUGAUCGUGGCUUGAUGACUUAUUUUCUGUGUUCAACAACGAUAGGAUAGUUUCCGUGAUGGAGUGGCUAGCGCGACACGCCACCGGCCGUUGGGAUGGGGAUGGUCACCCCAGGGACUUUGAUGUGACUUUUUUCAGGGUAUUUGUAUUGCUGCUUUGGUUAAUACGUAUAUCUUAAGGUUUUCCUGGAAAAAAACAGGAGCAGGCGCAGUGGCCUAGGUCAACUCCGGAUUGCUUAAUCCUCCUGAUCUGUACAUUAAUGAAGGCCAUGUAAAAUUUGUCCUGAACCAAGGGCCUGUUAUAUGACACUCGAUGCGAUCAAUAUGAUGGUGCCGCCCGCUACGCUGUCAGUUGGGCCGACCGAAGUUUAUCUAGUGGUUAAAAAAGCGGUCAACACAUUUCCGAACUGACUUGAUCAGCAUGGAAGCGUUUUCUUCCUUUUUUGAGCAAAUUCUUUCGUGUGUUUUUCACGCAUUUCAUUAAAAAAAUUACAUGUGUGGAUAAACGUUCGUGUGCAAUUUUAAAAAUGUUCCAGUCUAAUUUAGAAAAUGAUUUUGAGUAAAAAUGUUCAGUAAAUUAUAAAUUUACUCAGCCCUUUAAAAAGUUCAUGCAUGUUUAAAUUGUAUCAACAAAUUUUUGAAAAUAAUCAUGUUACUUUAAAAGUUUUCAGUGUUAAUUUUAUUUCAAGUAAUAAAAAUUUUUAUUUACACCUCCAAGAAAAUCUUCAUGUAAUUUUAAAAAGUGUUCACGCAAUAAAAGAAGUGUCUGUGUAAUUUUACAAUUGUCUGUGAACUUUUAAUAAGAAAUUUCAUGUAAUUUAUAAAGAUAUUUUCGCCUUGAAGAAAAUGUCAAUUUUUUAAAAGUGUUCACAUAUUAAAAUAAGUGUCCGUGUAAUUUUACAAAUGUUUGUGAACUUUCAAAAAAGACUUCACUUAUUUGAAUAACAAAUUCGAGUGAUUGAAAUUGUCCAGCUAUUAUAAAAAUAUCUGUGUAGAUUUAGAAAGUUUGCGACUUUUAAAUAAUGUUCAUAUAAAUAUAAACCUUUUUUGUCCUUUUGGGCUACAACGGAUCAUUUGCCUGUAGUUGCAUAGUUGGGCUACGCACCCACCGUUAGUCUGCGUUUGACCACUUCUCCCGUAUUACACUUUUCUUAAAAACAAAACGUAUCCCAUAUUACACUGAGUUUUCUUUUUGAUAAUUUUCCCUAUUUCUUAUGUAAUAAAGUAUUUCUUAAUCAUUUCAGAUAAAAUUUUACAAAAAUACCCUUGUAGCAAACUGGCAAUUUCUCUCAAGUCUACUAUGUAGUCUGUAGUAUGUACCUGGCUCAAUCGAAGCCAAAAUUUAUCCUCUGUUCUUUAUGUUCGCCUUACAAAUAUGUUGCUGGUUUUUGGUACGAACAAUCCGUUUGAAUGGACACCAGCAAAAUUCUCCUAUGUGCUUAUUAAGUACACAUGUGUAGGACUUAAAGUGGUUCGCUGAUCGAUCCAAUUAAUUCCCCUUCCAUCAUCGAUUGUCAUUAAAUUCUUGAAGCCUCAUCCUUGAUGAUCCUAAGGGACUCGGUGAAGUCAUCCAAAAGUUGACCAUGAUCUGGAAAGUGUGCCUCAUCAACAGCUAGAAUUACCUUGAUGGUGUUACUGUAACUCUGGUAGUGCACCGUCAGAGCCUAUGCACACAGGAAGCAUUAAUCUCCAUUAGGUACCAAAGGGAGUACACAAAAGUAAAUUCUACUACUAUAGUACUUCUCUUUUCUUUCUGAGAGCGACUUAAGAGUAGACUUUGUAAUGUGAGAUUAUGGCUGGACUGCGACUACUUACUUCUGGCGGACCGUAGACGCUAGGCGCAAUGGAGACAACUGGGUGCCCAUAGAACUCUACCUGCUUUGCUGGCCCAAUCAUGUUCGAAAAUGAUAUGGUCGUGUGUGAUAUCAUACGGUGGAAAAUAACACCUGCAGCCUACUUGGAUUGACAACCAUGGAACUGAAUUGGAUUAAUAAUUGUUAAUAUGUUUGAUUAGAAAAUCACAUUAAUUAGUUAGUUUGUUAAUUAGAUGCUUGCUCUCCUUUUUGAAAAACAUAUUCUACAGACAACCGUAUACAAGUACAAACACUAGUAGAAAAAACCCCAUCUGUCCCGGUUGAUAAGGGCCUUUUGUCCCGGUUCUGGAAUCGGGACUAAUGGGUCGGUACUAAUGCCCUAGAUCUUUAGUCCCGGUUCUAACACGAACCGGGACAUAUGGUCCUCCACGUGGCCGGUGAGCCGAGCCCAGGCAGGGGGGCCUUUGGUCCCGGUUGGCGGCACCAAAAGGCAUCCACGCGUCAGCAUUCCAGUGGCUGGAGUUUUUGUUUNNNNNNNNNNNNNNNNNNNNNNNNNNNNNNNNNNNNNNNNNNNNNNNNNNNNNNNNNNNNNNNNNNNNNNNNNNNNNNNNNNNNNNNNNNNNNNNNNNNNNNNNNNNNNNNNNNNNNNNNNNNNNNNNNNNNNNNNNNNNNNNNNNNNNNNNNNNNNNNNNNNNNNNNNNNNNNNNNNNNNNNNNNNNNNNNNNNNNNNNNNNNNNNNNNNNNNNNNNNNNNNNNNNNNNNNNNNNNNNNNNNNNNNNNNNNNNNNNNNNNNNNNNNNNNNNNNNNNNNNNNNNNNNNNNNNNNNNNNNNNNNNNNNNNNNNNNNNNNNNNNNUUAAUAGAGAGAAGUGUCCUCUCUUAUGUCCGUGCUUGGUCGACGCUACGUACUAUACAUAGAGAGGCCCUCGACACGCUAGCUAGUAAGAAAAUGAAGGGAACCAUUAAGUACAGAAGUUCGUCAUGCAUACCGAGAGAAGUGAUCGAUCGACCUCUCCUUCUCCGAGAGAUUGGUCGAACAACAAGUUUUCGUAUUAUCUAUCCGACGCUACUGGCUACAUACAUAUAUAUACAAUAUGUAAGAUCUCUUAAUUACAAUCCCCUAGCUAGCAUUUGAAAUCAACUUCCGCAUGGUAUUCUCCGGCUUUAUUGAUGACGUGGUCAAGAAAGAAUCCCGCUAAUUCCUCUUGAAUUACUUUGAUGCGAUCUUGUGGUAGGAGUUCAUCCCGCAUCUGCCACGUCUAAUUUGAAGAAGGGGGUUAAUACAUAUAUAUGAAUGAAACUCAACAGAAAUGAUGAUGUAAUAAAAUGAAAUUGUGAAUAUUAUUGCUUAUGCACUUCAUACUGUCUUUUAGAGUAGCCCCGCUUAUUUUUUAAAGUGGCGUUGUAGAUGAACUCGCACACGUAGUAUCCACAGUAAUUAUUUCCUUGUUUCUGCCACAAGCACUUUACGAGAAAUAGAGGUCAAUCAAACUGCUAAUAAAGCAUUAUAAAUGGCAUUGAUGAAAGUAUAGCUAUAGAAUCAACGGAAGAUGCGCGCAAAUAGCUAGCUAGUAGUACUUACUUUCGGGUAUGUAAAUCGCAGCUCCUUCGGUAGUCCUGGAGCUUGUGCGGUGAACUGUUUCCAAACCCUGCAAGACAAAGAAAAUAAUUAUAAUGCGCGCAACUAGCUAGCUAGAUUUCCUUCUCUUCUUUAGUAAGAGCGUAGCCGGCAGGACCUUCAUACUGCUUUGGAGGCAUGCCGUCUUUUUCGUGCAAACGUUGCAGGUCCUCCCGUGCCUCAGCUGUAUCUUUUGUCUUCCCAUACACGCCCAAGAAGCCUAGCAGGUUCAGCAAAGGUUCUUCGUCACGUGCAUCACGUCGAUCGAAGAGCGGACCUCUAGGUCUUUCCAGUAGGGUAGGUCCCAAAAUAUAGAUUUCUUCUUCCACAUGGGCGCGUGUCCCCCAGCGUCACUCGGAACAGCUAGUCCGCCGGGAUCCUUUCCAAAGAUUACGUGUAAAUCAUUGACCAUAGCAAGUACGUGAUCACCGGUACGCAUGGCGGGCUUCUACCGGUGAUCUGCCUCGCCUUUGAAAUGCUUGUCUUUCUUUCGACAUUGAUGGUUGGUCGAAAUAAAUCGACGAUGGCCCAGGUACACAUUCUUCCUGCAGCUUCCCAGGUAUAUACUAUCGGUGUCAAGUAAACAAUGCGUGCAUGCGUGGUAUCCCUUAUUUGUCUGUCCUGAAAGAUUACUGAGAGCGGGCCAAUCGUUGAUGGUCACGAACAGCAACGCCUUUAGGUCAAAUUCUUCCUGUUUGUGCUCAUCCCACGUACGUACACCGUUUCCAUUCCACAGCUGUAAAAGUUCUUCAACUAAUGGCCUUAGGUACAUAUCAAUGUCGUUGCCGGGUUGCUUAGGGCCUUGGAUGAGAACUGGCAUCAUAAUGAACUUCCGCUUCAUGCACAUCCAAGGAGGAAGGUUAUACAUACAUAGAGUCACGGGUCAGGUGCUUUGAUUGCUGCUCUGCUCCCCGAAAGGAUUAAUGCCAUCCGCGCUUAAAGCAAACCAUACGUUCCUUGGGUCACUUGCAAACUCAUCCCAGUACUUUCUCUCGACUUUUCUCCACUGCGACCCGUCAGCGGGUGCUCUCAACUUCUCGUCUUUCUUACGGCCCUCACUGUGCCAUCGCAUCAACUUGGCAUGCUCUCCGUUUCUGAACAGACGUUUCAAACGUGGUAUUAUAGGUUCAUACCACAUCACCUUCGCAGGAACCCUCUUCCUAGGGGCUCGCCGUCAACAUCACCAGGGUCAUCUCGUCUGAUCUUAUACCGUAAUGCACCGCAUACCGGGCAUGCGUUCUGAUCCUUGUACGCACCGCGGUAGAGGAUGCAGUCUUUAGGGCAUGCGUGUAUCUUCUGCACCUCCAAUCCUAGAGGGCACACGACCUUCUUUGCUGCGUAUGUACUGUCGGGCAAUUCGUUAUCCUUUGGAAGCUUUUUCUUCAAUAUUUUCAGUAGCUUCUUAAAUCCUUUGUCAGGCACAGCAUUCUCUGCCUUCCACUGCAGCAAUUCCAGUACGGUACCGAGCUUUGUGUUGCCAUCUUCGCAAUUGGGGUAUAACCCUUUUUUGUGGUCCUCUAACAUGCGAUCGAACUUCAGCUUCUCCUUUUGACUUUCGCAUUGCGUCUUUGCAUCGACAAUGACCCGGCGGAGAUCAUCAUCAUCGGGCACAUCGUCUGGUUCCUCUUGAUCUUCAGCAGCUUCGCCCGUUGCAGCAUCAUCGUGCACAUCGUUUGGUUCCUCUUGAUGUUCAGUAGCAUCACUGUAUUCAGGGGGCACAUAGUUGUCAUCGUACUCUUUUUCUUCGCCGUCUUCCAUCAUAACCCCUAUUUCUCCGUGCCUCGUCCAAACAUUAUAGUGUGGCAUGAAACCCUUGUAAAGCAGGUGGGUGUGAAGGAUUUUCCGGUCAGAGUAAGACUUCGUAUUCCCACAUAUAGGGCAUGGACAACACAUAAAACCAUUCUGCUUGUUUGCCUCAGCCACUUCGAGAAAAUCAUGCACGCCCUUAAUGUACUCGGAGGUGUGUCUUGAACCGUACAUCCAUUGCCGGUUCAUCUGCGUGCAUUAUAUAUAAUUAAUAGAAGUUCAUCAUCACAUUAAAACCAAAGUACAUACAUAGUUCUCAUCUAAUAACAUAAAGCUCUGCAGAGCAUCUAAAUUAAUUAAACCAUACAUUAAAACUAUGUAAAACAUUUCAAUGCGAAAACAAAUGCGACCAUAAUCGCAACCAAUGUAACAACGGAUCCAACGGCAUAAUGAUAUCAAGCCUCGGUAUGAAUGGCAUAUUUUCUAAUCUUUCUAAUCUUCAAGCGCAUUGCAUCCAUCUUGAUCUUGUGAUCAUCGACGACAUCCGCAAUAUGCAACUCCAAUAUCAUCUUCUCUUCCUCAAUUUUUUUUAUUUUUUCCUUCAAGAAAUUGUUUUCUUCUUCAACUAAAUUUAACCUCUCGACAAUAGGGUCGGUUGGAAUUUCUGGUUCAACAACCUCCUAGAUAAAUAAAAUCUAUGUCACGUUGGUCGGCAUAAUUGUCAUGAACAAUAAAUGAACCAUCAGUGAUGAAAAGAUAAUAUAUACCACAUCCGAAUCAUAGACAGGACGAGGGUCGACGGGGGCGGAUACCAGAACCAUCGCACUAUAUAAGAUGCAAUAAUAAAAGUAAGAAAAUUAUACAAGUAUCUAUAUAAACAUACAAGUAAGAAUUUUUUUCCUUUCAGAAAGAAGAUAAGAACAAGAGGCUCACCACGGUGGUGCCGGCGACGAGAUCGGCGCGGGCGAUCGACGGCGGUGAAGACGGGGACGGGACGUGACGGACCGCUAAACCUAGACAAAUAUUGAGGAAAAUAGAGCUUGAAGGUCGAGCUUGGAGAGGAGAAAGCUUAAGUAGUGUGGCUCGGGCAUUCCAUCGAACACCUCGUGUGCAUAGGAGGUGAGCUAGAGCACCACAAAGCUCUCUCCUCGCCGGCCAGGAAAAACAGAGCAGUGGGAGUGCUCUGCUCGCGGGCGAGGGGUAUAUAUAGGCAUUUAAUUGGUCCCGGUUCGUGGCCCGAACCGGGACUAAAGUGCAGACUUUGGUCCCGGUUCAGGCCACCAACCGGGACCAAUGGUGGUGGGCCAGGAGCGAGGCACGUUGGUCCCGGUUCGACCCACCAACCGGGACCAAAAAGUCCAGACGAACCGGGACCAAUGGCCCACGUGGCCCGGCCGGCCCCCGGGGCUCACGAACCGGGUCCAAUGCCUCCAUGGGUCCCAGUUCUGAAUUGAACCGGGACUAAUGAGCUGACCUGGCCUGAAUCAUUGCCCCCUUUUGUACUAGUGAAACUAAAGGACCAGCAAAUCGUUAUACCUUCACACCAAGAGUUUUGAUUAUAACUUCGGCAAGCAUAUGCGUAAACAUCACUUCCAGUGAGCUUUUCUUCCUAUCAGCAAUCUUUUUGGCCUUGUGAAUAUAUUCAAGUGGAUCUUUGUGCACAACAAUCUGAAAUGGUAGGAUUAUGUAGCCAAGUUGAUUUCUCCGUGUCACAUCGUUGCUCUUACCAGACUCCAUCAUAUUGACAUAUUCCUGCUCAGAACGGUAAAAGAAUUAAAUACUGAUACACUACAAAAUAAAAGUGCUGAGGACCGAGCAUGUUUCUGUAUGUCUUACAAAUAGACAUUCCUUGGCCAAAAAAAGUUUUACCUGUAGGCUACUAGUUGGCCUGAUGUUCACAAGGAGGAUCGAUCGCAAACAUAUAAUUUUGGUAUUAGUGUCACCUAACAAAUAUGGAAGAGAUAGCGGAUAGUUAGUAAAUGUAUAUAUUAUAUUACUCCUAAUUAUACAAUUUCUGGUUUACUAAUCUUAAUAUAUAUCUUACUCCCUAGAUUGAUGGAAUCUAAAAAAAAUCCUAGAAAACCAUGUUCAACUUUGUCAAAAUUAAUAAUCCCUCGGUUACAUUUUAUAAGAUUUAUUGUUUUUUCCUAAAGUCCAAACUUUUGAUCUUUGACCAAGUUUAAAAAAUAACUACACUACUAAAUAAACCAGAUAUGAAUAACAGAUGUUGAUUGUUUCAUGAUGCAUCUAUUAAAAUCAAUAUGAUUCAGUAUAACAGAUGUUGAUUGUUUUUCUAUAAACUUGAUCCAAGAUACAAGUGUUUUACUUUUGGAAAGAAAAUGUACCUUAUAACAUAUAAAGGAUGUAGUAGAAAAAAAUCAUUAUACAUACUAACGAAUAAACACGCAAUAAAAACAUAUUCCAUGAUAGAUUUUUCUUGUGUGAAGAGGACAUCUACUCAUAAUUUUUGUCUAUUGUAAAUAUUAUUAUAUUGACCCACAAUAGCUAGAUGUCAGUCGACAAGACUUUUGGUUUUGGGUCAGUCUCUUUUGAAGUUCGCCGGAGGAAGGCCUGAGGGAAGGAAGGAGAAGGAACAAGCUCGCCGGAGGGCUACCCCAACAUCUAUCUUAGGGUGGGGGUGUGGCAGCACAAUGGUGGUGCAACUUUGCCGGAGAANNNNNNNNNNNNNNNNNNNNNNNNNNNNNNNNNNNNNNNNNNNNNNNNNNNNNNNNNNNNNNNNNNNNNNNNNNNNNNNNNNNNNNNNNNNNNNNNNNNNNNNNNNNNNNNNNNNNNNNNNNNNNNNNNNNNNNNNNNNNNNNNNNNNNNNNNNNNNNNNNNNNNNNNNNNNNNNNNNNNNNNNNNNNNNNNNNNNNNNNNNNNNNNNNNNNNNNNNNNNNNNNNNNNNNNNNNNNNNNNNNNNNNNNNNNNNNNNNNNNNNNNNNNNNNNNNNNNNNNNNNNNNNNNNNNNNNNNNNNNNNNNNNNNNNNNNNNNNNNNNNNNNNGGGAGGGCAGGAGGCGGAGGGCAGCAUGACGGUGGGCCGCAGUUGUGGGGAGGACGGUGCGGGAGCGUCGCCGGCAACAUGCGGUUAGUCCGGCUUCGGCUGGGCGGUUUGAAGGAAGGAGAUGAGCUGGAGGAAGAAGAAGAAUUGCCCAUGGUUGGAUCUGCAUCCGAUGUCCCAAAACAAUUGGCUGACCCAAAUUCGAAAAUCAGGCAAAUUACAUCUAGCCAUUCUCAUAUUUAUCAGUACAUUCACAAAAUUAGUAUGAUAUUAUUGUAAGAGAAAGAGAGAGGAUAUGUUGUUACAAAGAUCUGACUACACAUUUUUAGGAUAUCAUCAAAGGACGGAGGCAGUAAUAGCGCUAGCAGCAUAAUAUCUAAAUUCUAUACUGUAGUAUAUACUUCGGAAAAGAAAAUCAUAGUACAUGAAAGAGCAGUUACCAGAUUUUCGGAAAUAGUAUCGCGACAGAGCAGCGGAAGUCACUCCAACUAUCACCACUGUUUCAAAUAGCCCGCUAUAGCUCCGCUAUAGCACGCUAUAGCGUUUACAAAAGGUCUUGCGCUAAGAGAUUUUGGUCCAAACAAAUGAACAAACAUUUUAAAUAGCGCGCUAUAGCUCCGUUAUAGCACGCUAUAGCAUUUGAAAGAGGUCCGGCGCUAAGAUGCUUAGCGCGCUAUUUAAAACUUUGACUAUCACAUCGUUCACAGUCUGCACAUGCAAACACGAUAAAAUGGAGAGAUGUUGCUAUAUAUAGGAAUCGAUCGAUGACGGUGCACGUACGUACGCAGUUCAUGGCAUGUUUCAGGAGCUUGACGUCGUCGAGGCUAAGGCUCCGGUGCACGAAGCGCUUGCGGCGGGGGAGCUCGCCGCCGCCGCCGUCGGCAGGCUUGAACAGUGUCUGUGGGUCCCUGACGAACAUGAUUGUGGCGACGAAGAGCGUCACGUCCACCACGGUGUGCCACGCGAGCAUGGCAUACGACCAAGCCCACGUGACGAACGCCAGAGCGCCUGCAGACCACGGGGGCCGCUGUCGCGCGUAGAUGGCGCCAGAGCGAGCGGGCAGCGCCGGCAUGGCCGGCAGCCUCGACGGGUCGGCGGCGCUGCGCGGGGACGCCAUGAGGAGGGUGAGCAGCGACAUGCCGUCGCCGAGGGAGUGAUGCACACGGAUCACCACGGUGGACGUCGCCUCAGUGGUCGGGUAGUUGAGGAAGUGGAGCUCCCAGAGCGGCCGGGAGCGGUCCAUGGGCGCCGUGGACAGCGAGGCCACGUAGUCCUCCACGGCCUUAUCCGGGUCGGACGCCACGGCGGCGCCGUCCAGCAGUGGGGAGGUGAUGUGUCAUCCAAGUUCAACGCCGACGCGUGCACCCACCGUGGUGGCUUGCCGUCUUUGGUCACCUGGAUGCUGUGGAACCGCGGGUGUCGCGCGAGCUGGGUCUCGAUGCCGCCGCGGAGGACGGGGAUGUUUAGGGGCACCCCAAGCCCCAUGCUGACGACGAUGUAGAAGCCGUCCAUCAGCCUCCCGGUAGGGCUCACCGGCCCCUCAUCCGCCGGCGGCCAGUCGCCGGACGUUGCUCUUGAGGCGUUGAUGGAGAGUGAAGGCUGCCUUCGUGCAGUACUACCACCAGCGUCCUCCAUUUUCACUUUCGUACGCGCUCGAUUGGUCCUUGCAUGCAUCGGUCGGCUCUGAAAUUAAUUUUGUACUAUGUACGCUCGGUUCCUAUAAAUAGGACAGGAAGACUGACGUGCGCCCGGGCAAAAUGCACUUGCUAAGGCUGGUUGCAAUGGGGAGUAUCAUAUACUAGCACCAUGCAUACGAUAUUAGUAUAUGUACUACAUCCGUAAUGCAUAGCAUCAUAUGUUGAUAUCAUAGUUGAUUAUAUUUAUUGACAUGCAUGACAUAAAGUAGCACAUCAUUUAAUAUGAUACGGUAUCAUGAUAUGAUACUCAAGCUUCUCUUUUUUCAUUUAAUUCUAUGACACAUCAUCAAGAUUGCUUAGUUGGAAUGCAUGAUACAACCGUACUACACUGUCCCGUUAAUAAAUGUUAUUUUGAAGCACUGUUUUUUUCUCAGUGUAGAAGAGCAUGCUCUAUCCAACGUAAUCAAAAGACCGAUCUAAUGAAAAAGACUAGACAAUAUAUUUAUACGUCAGGCCCAAAUAUGGAGUGAAAGUGGGUUGCAAUUUAAUUGUGUCAGUCGGGUCUGAACACAAGACCUCUUGUAUCUGAUAUCAUGUAGAAGUGUAUGCUCUAGUUAAUGCAACCAAAAGACCGAUCUAAUGAAAGAGACUAAACAGUACAUUUAUAUGUCAAGACUAAGACCACCACAUAUGUCACUUCUUCAUGAAAAUUUACACAUGGGUAGAUCAUUCCACUAGUAGAAAAGGGGGCGUUUGUCCCGGUUCGUAAGGGCCUUUAGUCAACCGGGACAUAAACAUGAACCGGGACUAAAUGGGUCGUUACUAUACCUCCCACCUUUAGUCCCGGUUCAAACACGAACCGGGACAGAUGGGCCUCCACGUGGCCGCUGCGGGCAGCCAGGCAGGGGGGGGGGGCUUUGGUCACGGUUGGUGACAUAAACCGGGACCAAAAGGCUACCACGCGUCAGCAGCUGGCUGGAGCUGAGCUUUUUCUUUUUUUUUUAAUAAAAAAGUAGCUGGUUUAGGGGUUUUGGGGGUUAAUUUUAGGUUGUUAUUAGCUAGCUAAUAGAGAGAAGUGUCCUCUCUUAUAUCUUCGUCCUUGAUUUACCAACGCUACUGCUUUCAUUUCACCCGCUGAUAUAUAAUAACUCAUGCAUGCUAGCUAGCAUCAUACAUGUCCUACUAAUCAUCAUAUAUAAUAACAAGUCCUACUAAUCAUGCAUCAUCAUACAACUUCUACUCGUUAUUAAUAAUAAGCACACGAUCAUCAUCCUCAUAGUCAUCGAACCCAACCCUACAUAAUUGUUCUUAGCACAUGAUCAUCAGUAUCAGAUAGGACCUAAACACCCUUAAGAAAAUAGCAUAAAACAAUAUAGACCUUGACUCUCCAUUAUGAAGAAUGGAGAUCAUCCUGUCUCCAAUUCUUGCGCUUCGCUUCCUUUUCCUUCCAAGAAGCUCCUUACGACUGUCCAUACAUUUUUUCCAUUCUUUGAUUGUCAUGUCUCCACUUCUGUUAGAAAUCCGGUAUGGACAAUUGAGAUUCGUAGGAUGACCUGGAUAUAUGUUCAAAACACGAAGGCUGCCAUUCUGAUACAUCAAAUGAGGCACACAAUCCUCUGGGAUUCUCUGUUGAAAAACAUAGUAAUAACUUCGUAGUUAGCUAUGAUGUAUUAGUUUUAGAAGUAUGCAAAAAGAUGCACGAAUGACGUAAUAGUAAAAAAUCUUACCAGGGUAUCUCCAUGGUAGUUACCGUAGUUCAACACGUGCACUAGUGGCACGUAUUGACCAUAAUGUUGAGGAGUUCGAUUAUAGACAUUGUAAUUCUCAAGAUCUCUACAAAAUGCUAUCAGAUGAUUUUUCUCCUUAUAAGUUAAUUCGGAGCCAUCGGUGUAGUGGGUUAUGUCUACCAUCUUCCACACAUUCUUUGAAAAAUCAAAAUAAGCUGUCAACUAUUUUGAAAUAAACAAUAUAAAUUACUUAAUAACUAUGUUAAGCUAGCUCACAUGGAGGAAGAAUUGGAGGUGUAUCCACAAGGACCCAAAUGUCCAUAUUGUCUUGCUCGAUUGUAGGAUCACCAAGAUCCAUGGUGACAAGCAUACCCUCAUCAAAACCAUACAUCUUGCAAAGUGCUUCCCAAUUUUUGCAAUCAAAAUGGGUUACACUCUCAGCAUUGAACAACUUUACUUUGAAAUCCACACCAUGAUGGGUCCUUACGAUAAUUUUUUUGGUUUCCACACUUUCAUGGUCUUCAAAACCCAUCCUCUCCAAGACAUAGCGUCUUGCAUAGCAUGGGAUAAGCUAGUCGAAUUGGAAAAGAUGAAAAAUACACGUUGAAAUACUUGAAGUCAUGCUUAAUUACGUAAAAAACACUUGUCGUUGUUGCGUACCGUUUCAACUUCGAAGGUCUCCUCGAGCUUAAUGCUGAAGCGCCGAUCUUCGUCCAGCUCAAUGAACCUGUCGCACAUACCUCGGUCGUCGUGGCACCAGUCGCACUCCGCCGGGCGACUUUCGUCGUCCGAUGAUGACAUUUCCUACAUUCAUAAUUCAAAGAUUAAACUUGUACAAUAAAAUAUAUAAACUACAAAAACUAAAUUAGACAAUUAUUAUUCAUCACGGGUUGACUAUCGGUCUGUCGAGUCUUUUCUUGAAAACUCUCAGCUCACGUGCUGUAUACAUUCGACCGUUGGUGAUGGUCGCUCCUCCAUUCGUCCCCGAGUGCAUUACACCAAAAUGUCUAGCACACGGGAACGAAGGAGAAGCGACCCCCACGACAACAGUCGGGAUUCUUCGUCCUCUCAUAUAUGGUGGAGACUUGACAGACUUAAAGUUAACCCGAAAUAUCGUUUAAUUUUCUUUCUAAAGAAGGAUUUGGCUGUGGUCUCACCUCGAGGUCGGAGGGGGCCGGUGACGGGGACGACGACGGGGAUGAUGGAGGGGGGAUCGCCUAGAUUUCUGUGAAAACAAAAACCCUAUAAGCUAUCAACUAAUCAUAUGCAUACGCCUUGCAUUUUGGCAUUCAAAGUAGGAGUACUUUUCCAAUAUGAGCAUUCAAUAAGCAAAACCAAAUCAUAAAAUAAAGUAGUAUUCAAAUUAGCAUGCAUUCAAUUAUAAGCAAAAGUACAUCAUCUCUUGUGUCCGUACAUUGUCGAAUAUUAUCACUAAUACUCCUCGAAUACUAUCAUACAUAUAGGAUCACUAAUACAGCUAGAACCGUAGCGCUCGACGGGUAUCGGCGCGGGCGGUGGACACCCAAAGAGAAGGAACCAUCAUAGGAUCAUAGCUCCAGUGAGAUCCCUGAAGAACCUGCCAGGUAUUGUCGAACCUACCCUCCAAUGCAACCAUGUAGCGACGGACGUGCUCGUCCUACUCGCUGACACGGUGACGUACCACCUCCGCAGUGUCCGGAAGCCUCGGCACCGUCACUGGCCCACGCGACCGCCACCAAACAAGGAUCAGGUCAACAACGGGCUGCCUCCUCACCAACCUACGUCCCCCGGAAGGUAGCACCUCCCAAUACCAGCCCGGCGGAACCCAGUCCCGAACAUGAUCAUGAUCAAGCAGGCCUCCACCGCCGAGUCGACGACGACGAGGAUGCGGGAUAGGCAUCGCCGACGUCGAUGCGAGAACUACUUCUAUAUAUAUUUAAAUAAAGUAGUUUUAUUAAUUAAAUCAACUAGUUCAACUACUAACCACUUACUAUAAAUAAAUAAAGUAGUACUUACUAAAAACAAACUACUUCUAUAUAUAGUAAAAUAAAGUAGUUUAUUAAAUAAAACAAACUACUUCUAUAUAUUGUAAAAUCAACUAGCUAGUUCAACUAUAUAUGAAGCACUUACUAUAAAUAAAAUAAAGUAGUACUUACUAAAAAUAAACUAUGAACAAAAGUACAAUAGAAAAAAAAUCAUAAAAUCCUAUGAACAGAAAAAAAUCAUAAAAAUUUGACAUAUUCGAUCUUUGCAUAUAUAUAUAAACAUACAAACAUGCAUAUUCAACNNNNNNNNNNNNNNNNNNNNNNNNNNNNNNNNNNNNNNNNNNNNNNNNNNNNNNNNNNNNNNNNNNNNNNNNNNNNNNNNNNNNNNNNNNNNNNNNNNNNNNNNNNNNNNNNNNNNNNNNNNNNNNNNNNNNNNNNNNNNNNNNNNNNNNNNNNNNNNNNNNNNNNNNNNNNNNNNNNNNNNNNNNNNNNNNNNNNNNNNNNNNNNNNNNNNNNNNNNNNNNNNNNNNNNNNNNNNNNNNNNNNNNNNNNNNNNNNNNNNNNNNNNNNNNGGCGCAGGACCGUCAGGGGGCAUUGGUCCCGGUUGGUGCCACGAACCGGGACCAAUGCCCAUCUUUAGUCCCGGUUGGUGCCGCCAACCAGGACCAAAGGCCUUGUGCUGCCCCGCGUCAAAAGUUUAGUCCCACCUCGUUAGCUGAGAGAGCUCGAGAGUGGUUUAUAAGCGCUGCUGCGCCCACCCUCUCGAGCUCCUCUCAAUUGCAGGCUUUCGGACCUAACCGUGUGCUGUGUGCGUGUGGGCUUAUUGGGCCUCCUGCGGGCCUGAAUCCUGGCCCAUGGUAGGGUUUCAAGUCGUAUUCAGGCCGUGGGGGCCCAGUAGGUGGCACUUUUUUUGUUUUUUGUUUUCUUUGUUGCUAUAUUUAUUUUAUUUUGUUUCUACUUACAACAAAAUACUUAUUGUUGCUAUUUUUAUUUAUUUUUAAUUAUUUUUCUUUUAGGUCACAAAAAUUAUAAACUUUCUGUUAGUGCCAUUAGUUUUCAAAUUUGAAUAGUUAAAAUUACUGUGUUUAAUAUUACUGUGUUUAAAAUUCAAAGUUUUUUUUCCAGUUUUUUUGUUUUGUUUUUUGCAUUAUUUAUUUUCUUUUGCUUUUUUCUUUUAGGUCAGCAAAAUUAUAAACUUUCUGUUAGUGCCAUUAGUUUUAGAAAAAAUAUAUUAUUUUUUGUUUUUUUGUUGCUUUAUUUAUUUUAUUUUGUUUCUACUUACAACAAAAUACUUAUUCUUGCUAUUUUUAUUUAUUUUAUUAAAGUUUAUUUUUAAUUAUUUUUCUUUUAGGUCGCAAAAAUUAUAAACUUUCUCAGCUAGCGAAGGUGGGCAUUGGUCCCGGUUGUUGCCACCAACCGGUACCAAUGCAGUUGAUUCUUUCUGCAGCUGUUUUUUAGUCCCACCUCGCCAAGCGAGAGGCACUCGCAGCGGUUUAUAAGCCCUGAGUGCAGAGACGAUGAAGAAGAGGCUGAAUGCUCACCUGCACGUUGCUUAGCUUCAAGCCUUGAGGAUUAGCGUAGACUGCACGGAGCUAUGUGCAGUGCAGUUUACACCAUUCCGAAAGGCUUGAAACUAAUUAACGAGCAUUGCGCCUCUUUUUUAUUUUUAAUGACUUAUUACAACUCAGAAAUAAAUAGAAAAAAGUAAAUAUAGCAGAAAAGAAAAAAACUAUAUAAAAAACUAUUCAGAAAUAAAUAGAAGAAAAAAUAAUUGUGAUUAACUUUACUAAAAAAAUUAACAUAGAUGCGCUUAUAGAGAAAAUUCAACCUAAAUUCAUAAUAAAUUUCUACUAACUUCAGAAAAAUUCAGUAUGAAUUUAGGUCAAAUUGUCUGUAUAAGGGCAUCUAUUUUCACUUUGAGAGGAGCUCAACAAGGCAGAGAGGGAGGGGCUUAUAAACCGGUGUGAGCGCCCUUCGGUUGGCGAGGUGGGACUAAACACUGACCGCAACGAGGACCAACCAUUUAGUCCCGGUUGGUGGCACGAACCGAGACUAAUGGGCGGCCUUUGGUCCCGGUUCAUACCACCAACCGGGACCAAUGGUGGUGAGGCCCGUUGGUCCCGGUUCGUCCCACCAACCAGAACCAAAAGGUCCAGACGAACCAGGACCAAUGGCCCACGUGGCCCGGCCGGCCCCCGGGGCUCACGAACAGGGUCCAAUGCCCCCAUGGGUCCCGGUUCUGGACUGAACCGGGACUAAUGGGGUGGCCCGGCCUGGACCAUUGCCCCCUUUUCUACUAGUGUUCAAGCUACUUUUUGCCAAAUUUUGUAGAAUUUAAUUACUAUUUUUGAAAAAAUUACAACCGAUUGACCAAAACUUUGGUCUUUCCAGUGACAAGGACUUAUGUGAGUUCACACUGGCAAAAGAAAAUCACCCACAAAACAACAUUUGAGUGAAUAAGAUUUGCCCUCUCUCCAUGGGAUAUGCAAAGCAUUUGUCUUCAAACACACGAUAGAAUCUGUAGGAACACGGUGGUGAAGGUUUUUACAUAUCUCAGUCCGGACGUUUGAGGUCGGUUUGGAGUGCCCGGAUGUUUACAUAUAUCAGCUAGCAUUCCAGCCAACUGCACUGAAGAUAGAUUCUACUACUACCGCUCCACUCUGCAUGUCAUCCACUGUCCACUCAUGGUCGAGGAGUCAUUGGCGACCAUGUGACAAGUGACAAAACACCGGGCUGUUCCACAUGUUCUAGUUGCACAUGCAUUAUUGCGCUUGGACUUUUCACCCCAUGUACUACGUUGAUAAUACAGUAUCAACCGCAAACCACCUACAGUCCGACACACAACUUGAAUGCCACGCUUUACCAAUCCAUAGUGUGAAUAUGUAGGACCAAUGCCACGCCUUUAUCUCGCCCCCCACCCACCAGCGUACCCAGACUGCAGGAUCCGACCCGGCUCUAGUGUGAACUAGAUCGGGAUCGCGCCUUGGCGCGGGGUACCGGUCCCAACGUUUGAUCAAACACGUAAUGAUAAGUUAGUGGUAACCCAGAUUUAGCAUAUGCAUUCAAAUAGAAUAACAACAAAGCUAAGGAAAAACAAUUAACUACGGUAAAAGCAAGAUAUAUUGAUGCCCAAAGAUGGUAAGAGAUUAGAAAGCAGAAUUGAUUUCAGAUGGUUUAUAAUACCACAAAAGAUUAUGGCUUGUCAUGAAGUUUGACACUAAAAUCGCAGCUACUUGACAUGAAGUUCUGACAUCACAAAUGUGAAUACAAGGCAGGAAGUAAUAAAGGCAUGAACAUAGAGGAGAAACAAUGACAGAGUCAUAUCUACUAAGCAUACUAAUAAACGGCUUCAGUCAACUGCCUUGUCUUUUAAUUCUGUAGGUGCCACGACACAUUAUUUAUAGGCAUCAAUUCACACUAACAAGUUCCUUUACUCAUCUGCCUGGUUGAUAAUCUUCACAGGCGCUACUCCAUAUGAUCCUGACGCAGAUAAAACCUGUGAGAUACGCGGCAUACCAUGAUAGCUGGAUAAACAAUGCAUUUGUGAUUCAUGCCUUAGCCUUUUUAAAGCAUACAAACAGUGAGUGUUGGUUCGAGUCACCGCGCCGUGGAAACUGAAAACGGAGACCAUAAAAUAGGGUUCAUUGGUUCAUACCCCCGCCUGUUGCGCUUCUCGUGUAGAUGGGCCGGGCUUGGUUAAAGGUCGGUGGGCCUGCCAAUAAGAUUCAGUUGUACACAACUUCAGACAAUAUAAGCAUAUAUGAUUCUCAAAAAAACUAAUAUAAGCAUAUAUUUUGGGUAUAUUUUUCUGCCAAUGACCCCAGCCCCUGCUAAGCCCCCUGACCUUCAGAUUCCUUCUUUCCACCUUAGUCUUCAGAAUCCUGAUCUUCUUGUCCUUCUUGUCUAAACUGCUCGACAAUUUUUAUCUCGGUCUUAAUCUUCUGCAUCUGAGGGCAAUCGAACUCAACAUCCAUAGUGGCUUGAAGAUGCUCCAAGCACCGAGUAGCAGCAUUUGCAUGGCCUCGCCGGCAUCCACAGCUGGGUCGCCAUUAAUCCUCAUAUAUGUUCUGCCGCUGCAGACGAAUGUGACUGAUGGCCAGAAGUAAGCAGCAGCCACCACACUGCCACGAUAGGUUGUGUAGGUCUUGUAUUUCACCUCAGGAAAACCAGCUUCAGCAAGAACUGCGCUAAGCAUGGCCUUCGGCCUAACCAUGACAGAACGCUUCAUCUGUUAAAAUAUGUAGAAAGGAAAGUCAUUUACACAGGGUAUGCAUCACAAGAGGAACAUGUGCAUAUACCAUGCUACCAAAGCCAUAAGUAGCAUAUCAAAAGGCAGUUCAGGUCCCAGGCACAAUUGCCAAGGAAACAAAUGAAACCCAUUUAUUAUGUAAGCAGCCCUGUGCAUCAAGAAAAACUAUACAGUUUAAAAGACCCACUAAUGCGUCGCCACCAUUUCAAACAGCAUGAUUAGUCCGCACUGGACAACCUCUAUAACCAAGAUAUAGAGCACACAUAGAUCACAACAUAGGCCAUAUCAUCGAUAGGCAUAGUGUACGUGUACAUGUAAAAUGCAAGCGAGACACGAAACAACAUCCAUAGCGGGCAUACUAAAUACGAUAGUCAAGUAUCCAAUUACAUUCGCCAGCAACCAAGAGCUAAAUAAACGAAGGCCAAUACUGAUCCUAGAACCAACAGCGAAGGGUGUUUCACAAGCACCACAUUAAAUUUUUCCGUGGAUGGCAAUAACAGAACAUCAUAUCAUAGACAACACGGCACGACAAAAGAGACGAUAUACCUAGAGAGAAGCUUCACCAUCUAUCCCACGUCGAGACUCCCACUCGCCAGACCAUCACUGCGAGAGAACACAUAACCAACACGCCAUGCCCUGUAAAAACACAGGUUCAAGUAAGAGCCAAACCAUGUAUAGCACACGAGGCAGUUGAUGAUAGAAAAGGUACUAAGCAGACACACCAAAACUAUAGGCUACCUAAGGGCAUUUGAUCUAAAGCUUGGCCCUUUUAGCCACAGAGGGCUCGGCUUCAUCUGCCGCCAGGUCUUCAGUUGAUUUGCUUCAAUAACAAAUGAAAAUUAUGUGAAAGAAGUAAGAGAUGAUGCAUAUACUGUCAAAAACCUGCAUCAAAGCUCGAGGUAGCAGCAAGUUCAUCACCGGGACCAACGGAGCUGCCAUCCACUUUUGCGAGUCCCUAGCAGGUAUAAACAGAUAUACAUCGUCAACCGACCACCAAACAAUCUUGAGAAUAGGUGUGGAUGAAUCUUCACCAAGCAAAUGAAAGGAAAUACCUGAGCAUACCCAUCGGAAAACAAAGAUAUACGCAGUCCAGACUUAUGUAGACCACUUGCUGGCACUUUCUUUACACCGACACUGCAGGUUAUAGAUUCAACAAAUACACAACAUGCAUCAAUUACCAAGCAUAAAAGGCAGAAGAAAACUACAAACAACACAGGGCACUGAGCUAGAGAAACUAUAUACCUGGGCAUCCAAAAGAACCAUGUCAGUGUGUUUGAUAGGACCGUUAUCAGUGGUUCCACGAUGCUGCCACAAACGCGAAACAUACACACGAACAGUCCAGUUCCUGUUCCCAACAAUAAAAGCCUGCAGACCAGCCACCGCCAUCUAGAUCGGCAAUGCGCCUUGGCGCGAGGGUGCCGGUCCCAACGAUGUGCCCAAGCAAGUAAUGGUAAAGUUAGUAGCAAGUUAGGCUCACCACAAUUGUGUUGGGUGGGAGUUGAAGAGGGAGGUAGGGAUGUUGGCCUGCUCCUCUCAAUGAUAUCAGAUAUAACCUUUCAUCUCAAUGUAUUAUUUAGUUAUGUUACAUGCAGAAUGAGAUACAAAAAGAACAUGUAAUAUACAAAAAAGGGAACGCAGCAACAGCGGAAAGACGUCAGUUUGAGGCUAUUAGGAACAUGGGCUCAAGUGUAGUUUAAAAUUGAAACAACUAAAUGUACUUUCUCCCUCCCUCUCCCUCCCUCUGUGUGAAAAUUACAGAGCUAGAAGAUAUCAUCAUAGAUGGUACGACAUAAAGAGAAAACAAGGACCAAAGCGCAUGCCACUUAUGCAUUUUAUCUAAAAUUUGAAUAUACAAAGAAGAAAGAGUGGAUGCCAGUAUUAAUGCAGAAAAGGAUCUAAUAAUUCUCCAACACACAAGUAGCCUAAGCAAUAUAUUUACAGAACAUGCAUAUAUAUAGAACUUAGUAAGUAUUUUCUUAUUACUGAUUAGAGUAACCAUAGCAUAAAAGGUUUUUAGAUAUUGUGAAUCAUAUUUUCUCAACCUUAAUAGUUUCAGGAUAAAAUUAGAAGUCUCUGAAAACAAAUUGUUGGUUGCGCUACUUUGACAUCCUUCUUCUGGGCAUUAUCAUGUUAUUCCAACGACACCGAAUGAACUAUAGAUAGAACAUUUUGUUAAGACAACCCUGCCAUGCAACAACAGUAAGGGCCAUAUUGUCCAAAAAAUCGAUGAAAUCAAAAUGGAGAGUUAUUUCUAAUUAGGCAAGCAAAUGAACCAGUCUAGACCUUUUCAGCGGGUUAUAGAGACGUGUCACACAAGGAUAAUAAAAGGGACCAACAAAAAAAUAAAAGAUCAAGAACCAAAAACAAACAAUAAAAUAUUAAAUCAAGUAUAACAAUAAAAGACCAAGAACAACUUAUAUGGAACUUACUCUUACUCUUAACCAGAUUAAGUUAAGGACCAACAACAAACAAUAAAAGAUCAAGAACAACUUAUAUGCAAUAAAGAUAUAAGAGAGAAGAGAUCUAUACAUAAGACGACUAUAAACACCGGAGCAUAAAUAAGCAACACCUUUAAAUCAAAUAAAAAGGGUUCAGGGUCCAUUGCAUAGUGGGCUCAGAUUCGCCUUUCCUCAAUCAUAUUACCUACCCCGUCAUCUCUUAUCACCAGAUCAAUCUGUUUAUACAGUUGAGCUGCCCUGGUUAUCACUCAACAAGAAUGACCAUCCAAGGACAGAACAACAGGUAUCACAAGAUCAAAAAGGACUCUAGAGACACGAGGGAGGAUCCAACUUGAUACCCACAGGUGCCUCGAUUGCUCAAAGGCACACUUAUUUCAGCCACGGCAAUCAUCAUCGCCCUAGCAAGAAUGGCUUCCGACCGAUGGGGCACGUGAAUUACAGGCCAGGCAUAGGAUUUUUACAGCAGGAGGUAACUAUUCAUUCCUACAGUUACCCCUCUCCGAUCCGGCGGCCCAGCUCCUCCCACCUCUGGAUCCAACGGCCGAAAAUACAUCAAGCGGCCAGAUCCAACGGCCAGGAAUCCAAAUCGCUGAGGUGGCUCGGUGAAAGCUUCGUCUCUUAUUUCUGGACUUUAAUACCCACAUGAGACGACUAUAAACACUGGAGCAUAAAUAAGCAACACCUUUAAAUACAAAUAAAAAGAGUUCAGGGUUAAAUGCAUAGUGGGCUCAGAUUCGCCUUUCCUCGAUCAUAUUACCUACCCCGUCAUCUCUUAUCACCAGAUCAAUCUGUUUAUACAGUUGAGCUGCCCUGGUUAUCACUCAACAAGAAUGACCAUCCAAGGACAGAACAACAGGUAUCACAAGAUCAAAAAGGACUCUAGAGACACGAGGGAGGAUCCAACUUGAUACCCACAGGUGCCUCGAUUGCUCAAAGGCACACUUAUUUCAGCCACGGCAAUCAUCAUCGCCCUAGCAAGAAUGGCUUCCGACCGAUGGGGCACGUGAAUUACUGGGCGCUGGCACGAGACAUUUCACCGCUGAGUAACUAUUCAUUGAUACAGGAGCUCGGGUUCGAUCUGACGGCCAACGUCAUCCAACGCCUCAAUCCAACGGCCGGAAACGCAUCAAGGAAACGCAAUGGACGGCCAGAUCUUCCUAAUCGCUGUGAGAGCUCAGUUAUCCCCGCGGUUCUUGUUUUUGGAUGGUUAUUAGUAUCACUCAUCAAAAAUGACCGUGCAAGGACAGAGCCACUAAAAUAGAAUGUGAUCAAAACGGGUCAAAGAAACAAGGGGGGUCCAACCUAAUACCCACAUGUGCCUCGAUUGCUCGAGAGCAUGCCUAUAUCAGCCAUAACUGAUCAUCAUAGCCCUAGCCAUGUCCCAUAUACAGUAGCCAAAGCAGAGGAGUAGGAGGAAGAUGGAGCUCACCGAGGGAGGUUGUAGCCGAGGCAGUGCUCAGUGGGCGCUGGGGUUGCGCCUGAACGCCAUCCAGCCGGCGAGGAACCACUUCCUACACCGCACAUCCACGCCGCCGCAUCGGAGUCGUGCCUUGCACCGUCCCACCGACGAGGACGAAUGCCACGGGCACUGAAGCAGCCAAGGAGGUGAGGAAAUGAUGUACAUCCAGGAGCACCACUAGGGGCAGAGAUGACCGGGGCACCAAUUUUGAUGUUUCCAGUUCUGAUGCCAUGCAAAUGAAAAGGUGAGAUUGAAUGAGAAUAAGUCAAACAUUCAGCCGAAGACAACAGUGUUUGCUACAUACUGUAUAAUUGACUACCUAGCUAUUGAUGAUUGCCUAUCUUCAGGCUUUGCCUUUUACCUUGAGCUCACACCAAGAUUACCUGCAAAAACAGUAGAUAUGCAUUUCAGUGCUAAGGCAAAGACAAAGAAAAGAAAAAUGAAAGAAGAAGAAGAAGAGAAAGAAAAGGAGAUAGCUACAAUCCAAGGAAGGAAUGCCUAACACCGCACCCAAAGCGAAAUAAGAGGUAGAAAAGACGACAAAAUGAAAUAUUAAGCAAAUCUCUGGAAUGAAAUUUCAAACCAAGAUGUCCUGAUAUAACAGAAGGUCAAACAUGGGCCUAUAUGAAAUAGUAACUACAUGCAAAUAUCAAACAGACAAUAUAUGAUUUAGAGAUGCAUCAGUUAAUAAGCAGUAUUGUAGAUGUUUCCUAAAUAUUUAUCUAGCAAGUGUGCAUCUAUAGUUGGCAACAUGGUUCAGAGAUGCAUCAGUUAAAACCUUUUGGGCUUCUAUAGAUAAAUUUACAAAAAUUCUACUAUAUUCCUAUCUACAGAUAAGGUUCUAGGAUGUGAAUGCACACUUGCUAAAACUCUUUGAAUAAAUGCCAACCAUGUUGCAGUUCAUGUAUAAACCUAACUAUUCGGUAUAUGCAUGCACAAUUGCUAAACAUUGCAGCAAAUCGUAUUUUAUGAAUCAUAAAAUGAGGGUGUGGAGCUAAUGAAAUUUCAAUGAUAACUCCAACACCACAUCAACAGAAAGUUUAUUGGGCUAAACAAAUGAAAUAGUUGCAGUUUGUACCUAUUCCAAAACCAAGUCAUGUACCAACUCUAGAGGACCACAACCAAUGUCUGCUUCAAGUUCCUUUAACCCUUCCUUCCUUAGCUAGAGCACAAGGAAGAACACAAAAUCAGAUCGUGAGAACUACAAAAAUGUAAGUCAUUGAUCCUAAGCACUCACCAAAGCUAGCCAGAUCCUCCCAUGGCAACCAAUUGGCCCUCCACAGUAGAACCUCACCUCUGGCAUCGUCCACUUCUCGUAUGUGCGCCUCAUUACACCUGUGCGACGUUGGGCUAGCUGUAGCUGGUGACCUGCAAGGCAAGAGGAGCAACAGUCAGAGCUCCGACCAUGGCCACCGCGUGACGUAGAGGGGCAUCAUUGAUCUCACUCACGUGUUGGACACCAUAUCCGGCGCCGCCAUGAGCCGCUUGACGCCGAGGGAGAGAGGGGCCGAGCAGUUGCGGGAGUGGCAGCCUUCGCUCCUCCUAGCGAUGGGGACGCUCGAGCUCGACGGGCGAGUGGCACAAUAUGUACAUCCAUUUGAGCAUACAAAAUUAAUUCCAUGAAUGUAGAAGUCAAAAGAAAUCAAAAUAAAAAGAUAAGAAAAACAAACAUACAACUACAAAGAUGAGCAGAGCUAGAUCAAGGAAAAGUAACACAAGCCUAAAUCAGUAUAUUGCUAAAUUAAGUUUAACAGAAACAGCAGUACCACUAUAGCAAUAUUUUGGACCAGAUUAAACUAAAGCCCACAUAGUUUAUUACCCAAAACUUCCUGGCAACACAUCUAUAAUCCUAGCCACUAAUAAUUCAAUCGGCCAUGUCAAUUCAGAGCAAAGAACACAGGCAUCAACCAUCCAUGUGCAAACAAAAAAAUCCCACCCCUAGUAGGAUCUACACAAGAAACAAAAAGAAACACCUAUAACCCACAAAAGAACAAACAAGGAAAGGAGCCCACAAAAAUCCAACCAGGGGAUAAUACCUUUUGCCUCUACCAGAAAGAAGACAACAAAGAGAUACAUCCAUUGGCUAAACUACAUACCAAUCGAAUCUAGCGGAAGAGGAGCUUACCCAUCUUCUUGUUCUUCCCGCGUUUCUCCGGACGAACGGCGGCGGCUCGGGUUGGAGCAGAGCUUCGGGGCAGGGGAAGGCGGAUAGCCAAGGAGGAGAACGAGCACCGCUGCCGUGGCGGAUGGAGAGGCGACCGUCGGUGAGGAGGACGAGCGCCGGAGCCGUGGCGGAUGAAGAGGUGACCUCCGACGAGGCUUGUGGCGCCCAUCGUCCCCGAGGAGGUUGACCCGCGGUGCCCACGCCUCCGGCAACCGCGGCACGAAUCCGCGGAGGCGCGCCCACAACCGGCGACGCCCUCUGGCGGCGAUGCGCGUGGCGGCCGUGGACGGGGAGGGUGGCCAGCGAGGAGUGGCGGCUAGGGUUCAAUCGGGGGCGGGGCGAGUGGGCGCUUGGGAGAAGACAUGGUGCGGGGUCGCGGGGAGGAGAGGAGGCAGCGGCGACGCACGAGAAAGGGAGCGAGGCGGCUAGGGUUUCACCACGGGCGGGGGGGAGGCGGCGGGGCAUCGGCCACNNNNNNNNNNNNNNNNNNNNNNNNNNNNNNNNNNNNNNNNNNNNNNNNNNNNNNNNNNNNNNNNNNNNNNNNNNNNNNNNNNNNNNNNNNNNNNNNNNNNNNNNNNNNNNNNNNNNNNNNNNNNNNNNNNNNNNNNNNNNNNNNNNNNNNNNNNNNNNNNNNNNNNNNNNNNNNNNNNNNNNNNNNNNNNNNNNNNNNNNNNNNNNNNNNNNNNNNNNNNNNNNNNNNNNNNNNNNNNNNNNNNNNNNNNNNNNNNNNNNNNNNNNNNNNNNNNNNNNNNNNNNNNNNNNNNNNNNNNNNNNNNNNNNNNNNNNNNNNNNNNNNNNNNNNNNNNNNNNNNNNNNNNNNNNNNNNNNNNNNNNNNNNNNNNNNNNNNNNNNNNNNNNNNNNNNNNNNNNNNNNNNNNNNNNNNNNNNNNNNNNNNNNNNNNNNNNNNNNNNNNNNNNNNNNNNNNNNNNNNNNNNNNNNNNNNNNNNNNNNNNNNNNNNNNNNNNNNNNNNNNNNNNNNNNNNNNNNNNNNNNNNNNNNNNNNNNNNNNNNNNNNNNNNNNNNNNNNNNNNNNNNNNNNNNNNNNNNNNNNNNNNNNNNNNNNNNNNNNNNNNCGGGGCCGCGGUCAUCGGCCACGGCCACGGCGAGCGGGAAGGGCGGGACGACGGGGCCGUUGUCAUCGGCCACGGCCACGGCGAGCGGGACGGUCGGGGCGGGGCGGGCGAGACGGGGCGAGCGAUGCGGCGGGGCGAGCGGAUGGGAAGGGAAGAGAAGAGGCGGCUAGGGUUCUACGGGAGGAGCUGGCGUUUAUACCCAAUAGUGAAAUGACUAAAAUGCCCUCGGGGGGCCGCUGGAAUUACACGCGGUGGCACGAGAUUUUUUACAGCGGGAGGUAACUAUUCAUUCCUACAGUUACCCCUCUCCAAUCCGACGGCCCAUAUCCUCCCACCUCUGGAUCCAACGGCCGAAAAUACAUCAAGCGGCCAGAUCCAACGGCCAGGAAUCCAAACGGCUGAGGAGCCGGGAGGAUCAGCGUCAUUCUUAUUUCUCGAUAUGUACGACCAAUUACAAUUAUAGCCUGACACAACAUGUACACAUACUAUAUUAGUAUGCUUACACAUUAACUCCAUCAAGCGAGGUUGUUGUGUUAGGUGACGUGCAAACUAUUAUUAGUACCCAAUUCUGUUUUUCCACUUAGUUAGACUGAUAGAGUUUUAGGAAAACAGAUGAGAUGGACUAGAGGGAUUAGAUAUUCUGUGUUUCUAGAAAACUAUGAGGUGGUAGAGGAGUGAGACAUAUACUGUAUCACUAAGUUCCCAAGGAUUGGAGGCCUCACAAUCAGCUGAGGUCUCCAACUGAAAUUUGGUAACCAAAUUUUGACUGGAUCAACAAUUUCUCAAAACUCUUCCAUUCAUUUUUUUUAUACAAUACACUAUGCUUCCUAAUUUUUUAAGCUUCACAACUAAUUGAGGCUUCAAUUUAAAAUUGGGCCACCCGAUUUUGACUGGGUCAAUGAUUUCCGAAGGAGCUCUCCCGAUUAAUUAUUUUAAUUUUCUAUGUUUCUAAUUUUAAAGCUCUUUUAUUCGAUUGAGGUAUUCAAUUUUGGAUUUGAUUUAUAAUUCUAAUCGGGCCAACGAUUUAUCAAAUCAAUCAGCAGCAACCGGCCUAUAAAAACAUAUCAACCACUCGCGGACUCCCAUCACCCAGAAAAAGCGCCACCAUGUGAUGCUAUAGCAUGAAUAUAGUACAUGCAACCACCGAUGCAAAAAAAUUCCCACAUAAAUAUGGGUUAAUUAGUGGAUAACGCAGAAUCACGCUGUUAAAGGCCCACCAAAUAACCUCAUUAUAAAUAAACAUAAAACACACUUCAUCGUCUCCAACACUGGUCAAACUAAAUAUUCCUUGUGUCAAAAUAUAUGGGGCAUUAGUUUUCUGGAAAGUCAAUUUUUUUUUAAUUUUGACCAAAUUUAGAGCAAAAAAUCGGCAUCCACAAUAUUAACAAAAAUAUGUGAAAAUUCAUUUCAUGAUGAAUCUAAUAACACCGAUUUGAUAUUAUGAAUUUUGAUAUAUUUCUCUACAAAUUUGAUCAAAACUUAAAUAAGUUUGAUUUUUCAAAAAUAAUAAUACACCAUUUAUUUUGAAAUAGAGUGAGUAAAAAAAUUUAAGAAUCCCAACAAUAUCAAUGGCGCAGCAAAGCGUGUCCAACCCUUCCAAUGUUGAUGAACUAUCAGAGUUGAACUCGGGAGAGGAGAUCAGGUUAUGUGUGUCAAUGAAAGUGGGAAGAUUAACUGAUGACAAAGAAGUAGGACUGUGGUUUCAUUAUCGUAAGAGUGGUAAGAAUUUCUGUAAUCUCGUCAAAUAUUUCAUCACACCCCUUUUCUAUGCCUAAUUUUAAAGGUAGGAUUGUUUGUCCACUUGUUUUCUUCGUCGAAGCAUUUUCGCAUGUCGUCCUUUUAUUGUGGAUCAUUACGUUUGUGGUCUUUUUUUUUGUCGGUCGUUUGCUUUCACGUCGCCUAUGUCAAAAUAAAAAGGAAAUGUUUGUAGAUGCCUUAAGAUAAGAUUGUCUUAUCAACAGCUAUAUAUGCUCCACAGUUUGUUUUCAUUUAGGUGUGUCAAGAGAUUUGCUGGUGUUCGUUGAAACGUCCAUGGCGUGCAUUGAUAAUCGGUGAGGGCAGGGAUCCUAGAUAUUUUAGGUUCAAUUUGUCAAUAAUUAGGGCCACUACUUAGGUAAUUAAUUGUAUCCAGCUCUCCCCUGCUAACCAUACACCGUACAACACAAAGGUGAUGAUGAUGACUCUUGGGUUCAAUCAGAUCAUUACUGUGUCGGUGCCAUGUGGGAAAUCGCAUUCAGUGGAACGGUCACAGGUUUUAUGGUGACGGUUAUCUUUACUCUGUUAAAUAAAUGAUAGAAUAUUUUCAAUAUUCACAUAAUGAAAUUAUUAUAUUCAAACAUUACAUCCCAACAUAUUGUCCCCUUUCACCGCCCAAUGAUGCUCAAUCAGAUAUUCCUUCAGUUGCUCAUGAGUUGGUCGAUGCCGAAUUUGUUGAUGCAUUCGAAUAAACUCCUCAAAUGUGGUCGGAUUUUGGCCCGGAAGUUGGAUAGGAUCACCCAUCUUCUCAAAUUCCAGAGUUGCGGCAGCAUCGUCACCCUCAUCCUCGACGAUCAAGUUGUGCAUGAUCACACAACAUGUCAUCACCUCUCACAAGGUUUCUGGGUCCCAUUGUUUAGCAGGUCCACGAACAACAGAAUAACGUGUCUGCAGAACUCCAAAUGCCCUCUCAACAUCAUUUCUAGCUACUUCUUGUCUUUGGGCAAAGUGAGCAUUUUUCUUGCCAACUGGGUUUCAGAUGAUGCUGACAAAGGUAGCCCAUGCAGAAUAGAUACCAUCAAUCAAAUAAUAGCCCAGGUUGUACUCAUGUCCAUUGACAGCGUAGUAGCUAGGAGGAGUUUUUCCUUCAGUCGGCCUCGCAAAUAACGGCGAUCGUUGCAGCACAUUGGUGUCAUUGUGAGACCCGGGCAUGCCAAAGAAAGUGUUCCAAAUCCAAAGAUGCUGUGAUGCGACUGCUUCAAGAAUAAUGGGGGGCUUCUUAACAUGGCUUUGAUAUUGCCCUUGUAAAGCCUUUGGGCAAACAACCUGGCCAUGAGAUUGCCAGGAGCCUCUCAGUGUCUGUCACAGUUGAUUUUCUUAGAUACUGAGGUCCGUACACCUCGACCACGACAGUUGCCAACCUGACCAUGGCAUCUCCGCAUAUAGUGUAGUUGUAUUACUCAAUUCUACCUUCUCCCUUCUGGCCCAUUAAUUCCAAGCCUUCCAGUGAUGUGUGUUUAGUGGGAGAAGGCGUCUAUGGCAACUCCGCAAUCUCAAGAUGAUUUGUCGGCUCAGUUUCUUGAAUGUACUCAAAGAAGUAGAGUGUGUGUGCGUACGUUUAUAAAUGUGAGUCUUCGUGCAUAUGUAUUACUGUUUUAAAAAAUAAUCAUGGAGCCUUCCACUAUCCAAUUUGCACCGCAUGGAUGCAUCUUACAAGUUGACUUGUAACUUGUAAUAUCUUCAUCUUGACAGGGCUCUAUUCACCUUGUUUUUCCCAAGAUCGCUAAAUAUUUUUUAGAACACCUUGUUUUUUUCAAGAUCGCUAAAUAUUUUUUAGAACAACUGGCUUCCGUCCUAUUCCCAUCAUUCUGCGCGUCAUAUCGUCCAUGGAGGAGCCGCGGCCACCUGNNNNNNNNNNNNNNNNNNNNNNNNNNNNNNNNNNNNNNNNNNNNNNNNNNNNNNNNNNNNNNNNNNNNNNNNNNNNNNNNNNNNNNNNNNNNNNNNNNNNNNNNNNNNNNNNNNNNNNNNNNNNNNNNNNNNNNNNNNNNNNNNNNNNNNNNNNNNNNNNNNNNNNNNNNNNNNNNNNNNNNNNNNNNNNNNNNNNNNNNNNNNNNNNNNNNNNNNNNNNNNNNNNNNNNNNNNNNNNNNNNNNNNNNNNNNNNNNNNNNNNNNNNNNNNNNNNNNNNNNNNNNNNNNNNNNNNNNNNNNNNNNNNNNNNNNNNNNNNNNNNNNNNNNNNNAGUUAGGAAGGUGUCAAGUGCGCGGCGAGGUGGUGGCUGCGUUGGAUAUGACCGGUGGUCACGGGUGCCGCCCGAUCCAGAUUGGAUCCAUCUCGAUCCUGUCUUUGAACACCGUUGGCCGCCGCGGGGUGGUGGUGGUCGUCGCUGGCCACGUCGCAUUGCUCGAUUCGGCGUCUAGAGAUCUAUGAUGAGUUCUUCUCGGUCCUCCUUCCUGGUGGGCUGAGCCCCAUGGCUGUUUCAUCUCUGCAGGUUUCGGUUCAUGGCUUGUUGCCGGAUCCGGGGCACAUGGAGGUUUGGUGGUAUAGGAUGGGACCGGAGGAAACUUUGGUCGGCUUGUUCGGCCUGGCAUCAGCGACGUCACUCGGCACCGUUACCCUCCGUGGAGGCGAAGCCGAGGUCUGUCCUAUCCACCCCUAAACCCCUCCGGAACGUAAGUCCAAAAUUCAGUCUGGAUUGGCUGCAGCGUCCUGCGCGUCGUAUCCUCCGUGGAGGAGCCGCGGACACCUGCCUUGUUGGUGUGGCUGGGGCGCGUGUCAAGACGGUGCUGCAGAUUGCAAUGGCGCAUCCUGAGGAGUUCCACCAGCUGCUGAUCCGCGGGACAGCGUCGCUCAUCGUGGAGGACCUGCACGAUUCUGUCCUCUCCCGGUACUCGCUUACAGUACCAACGUCCAAUUGCACAUCUUCCAUCGACUUAGACCAUACAUGGAGCUCAAGUCUGCGGGCUGGGGCACAUGGAGGAUGGAGCUCGGUCUCCGGCGGCGAGAUCUUGCCUUACCUCCCGGACACCAUCAGUGCCCUCAAGGACAUGGCGGAUGCCCUUAAAAUGUGGCAAAGUUAGUUGUGGCAAAGUUGUCAUGAACCAAACAUGCCCUUAAAAUCAGAGAAAGGCUAUCCAGUUCAGCAUUAUUUGUUUUUGACACUACCUGUAGGUACUACACACACACUAUUUGUAACUAGUACUGCAGAACUAAGGCCACUAAAAAUUUGAAAUUCUGUAGCCAUUCUGCUUGUCCUUACAGUACGACCGAAUCCACUAAAAUCUUGAAAUUGUGUAGUUACUCUGCUUCUCCUUACAAUAUUGAAGGCCAGUACUUGGGCAAUCGCAGCCUUCUUUCCAUCCUCGAUGAAGUACCAAUAAUUGAGCAGUGGCAGCAAAAUACCUUGCAAACAGUACUGCAAUACAGGAAACAGAACACAGAAAAAUCAAACUCACAAUGGUAGGAAGUUUUCAACUUCUGCCUGGAGGGGGUCCUGGACGCAAUGCUUCAGGGCCAGGUCAUCCUUGUGACGCCUUACUUCCAUCUAUGUUUCUCUUCAGUAUUCCUCCAAACGCUGUGCUCGGGUCUUGAGGUGUGCAGUAAAAUUGUAAAACUCAGUGGGCUAGUUCAGGUAGUGGGGACUUCAACUGAGCAGGUACUACAUAGAUAUGUUGCUGAACAUAUGAAAAUGGUGCUGGACAUAACUGAUUAACUGAUUAUUACAGUAUGACUCUUGGUGUAUCAAACAUGCAUUUGGGGCAGGCAGGUUGAGCAUAUAUGAUCAGAUAGGAAAUAUUAUCCAUGCACUGUAGGCUGACAUAACUGAUUAACUGAGUGAGUAGCUCAUAGUAAGGUAUGAAAUAUAUAGAAGAUGGAGUGCAUAGUGCUAAGAAAAAUGCUGCAGAGGAUAGAUCAUAUCCAUAGGAUCUAGUAUUACAUAAUCCGGACACUGAAUUUGACUGCAGGCAGAGUGAGUAGCUCAUAGGAAGUCUUCAUAACUAGGGACUGGUACUGAAUCCUGGAAACAAACAGAGUGCUAAACUGAAAAGAUCUAUGCCAAAGGCCUAAGUUUAUUUGACUGUAACAAAGACAGUCGGUUGGUGCUGAUGUAGUUUGGCUAUUCAUUAGGAACUGGAGCGGUGAGCUUCUCCUCAGUCAUCUCACCUCAUUAGGAGGGAGCUGGCGGCGUCGAACUCCAAUGGCCUGGAUGGUGCCAAGUAGCAGCUUCGGUGGAGCAGGAACUGAUACCAACACAUUCUAAAGUUUGAUUUAGGACAGAAAUAAAAGAACGCAUUGAUUAGGUGUACCACCGUACAUACUCUAUCAUCUGGUAUGUAAUUUUUAUUAUGUUUGAAAUGUUCUGCAUUUCCGAUGAACUUUUAUAAUAGAUCUGAUCCUUUCCAAAAAAAAGGUCAGCACAAGCAUUUUUUUUUUCAAACCAACCUUGUCUGGGAGCAAUGGUUUCCAACAUACACCCUUUUUUGACGGGACAUCUACGCCGUUUUUUUAAUGUAUAUGUGACAGAAACAUGUUGGUAGAAUUUGGGCUUCAUUUCGUUUUGCAAUGGCCCUUCUCAAAAACAUACUUGUAGCUGGAAGCACCCUUUUAUUUGUAUGUAACGGAAACACAUUGGCAGAACUAGUAAAUAACAUUUAUUUUUGAACUCGGGUAAUCCCCUUUCCAUUACUCUCAUAAUGCAAAAUUACACAAGUCUGAAUAGACGUUUAGGAGGUGGGAAAGAGAAAUAUCAAGUUCAACUUAUCGCCAGGAAACCGCUGCGAGUGCGCGCAAUGGACACUCACUAUGGGGCGAAAACCCAAUGACACCAAACUAUACUAACAAUGCCAUACAAAGCUCAUGCAGUAGCAGCAGCGGCCAAAGGUACCAGGAGUCUGAAGCAGCACCUAAACAGCGACAAACCACCACAAAACAUGCAGAGCUCUAUGAGCCAGAGCAAGUAAAUAUUUUCUGAAGUAAGGAAUCCAACAAUGAGUCGCAGUUGUUUACGAAUUAAGGAGCUCGGGUGAGCCCAGAAUUUCAGUCAUUACAAACAUGAUACUACACCCUCAGGUUUGUCCGGUUCAGAUAAAAAAAAAACAUCAACAUGACAUGAGCCAGCCAUUCGAUGUAACAGCAACAACGAUGGCUCUCAGCCGAAACAGAGCAACUUACUACAACGCUUUACUAAAAAACCAAGCAACAUCUCUUUAUGCAAGCGACUGUCAUUUAAAAGGAGCACAUCACACAACCUCUCGGAACCUUUUUAUCCUUCAAUUUUUUGCAUGACCGGUGCCCACCCAACGUUUAUGAAACAUCUCAGACGCCACUAGCAGUAACCUGCGCCCCUGGUACCUGCACAACGCAAGUCUUUCUUCUGUAAGCUAUACCAACAGAACAUCCAAAAUGCAACUUUACCAACUACACAGAUUAGGUACAAAUGGAAACUAUUUCUGAAGCAAGCAUCAUUUCCUCAUUAGAACCACC
rnacentral:lncRNA from 1 species